GGGUCUUUUCGUAAAUUCAGCACCGCAUUAAGUUUUGCAAGCGCGACCCCUGUUGGGAUAAGAUGCUGACAGAUAUACCCCCCUUUACGCGAAAAAGUAGAGGGUGCGAAUUCGCACUUACCGAGGACAUUGUAAUAUCAAAUAAUCGACAAAGGGGUGCCUACGAAAUUAGCCUCCGACGACACUGACCGCCGUGCAGGGCGGAGAGAGAGAGACGGGGGAUUCGAGAAGAGAGGCCCAUCUUCUUUACUGGUUGGCUGAGCGUACCCAGAUAGAGAGAGAGUAGAGAGAGAGUAGAGAGAGAGAGAGAGUUGAGUAAAUGAAUCCUGACAUAAUCAUUGGAGGGGGCCAAAGGGGACGGGCUCACAAUAGGAUGCAGCAACAGACCAGAGGAGAGGUGGGGGGGCCAGGAUAGACGAUGGCAGCCAGCUCCAGACGAGCAGGCUGGCCCCUCCUCUCUCUCUCUCUCUCUCUCUUUCUCUCUCUCUCCACUUUCUCUGUCUACUUUCUCUCUCUAGGGCCCUCGCGCCACCAUUGACGAUGGGCCUGCAUGGCCCUCGUGAGGAUAAGGCGGAAUUAUUUACUCCCCCGUCACUGUUCCACCAACUCGACAAACCACGGAAUAGAAAAAAAAGCCUAGAGAGAGAGAGAGAGAGAGAGAGAGAGAAGANNNNNNNNNNNNNNNNNNNNNNNNNNNNNNNNNNNNNNNNNNNNNNNNNNNNNNNNNNNNNNNNNNNNNNNNNNNNNNNNNNNNNNNNNNNNNNNNNNNNCAGUGUCAGACUGGUAACUCUUCCGUUAAGGAAAUCAUCCAUAUCGUAAUACUCUGCUCUUUCUCUCACUGUUUCGGCUGAUUAUAAAUUCACUCUAUGCAGAGCAAGGGUAUCUUCUAUGAAGUGCCCUCCGGAAGAAGGGAUGGAAAAGUCUCUUUGAGCUCGGAGACGUUCGCGAACUUGCCUCCACCCUCCUUUAAUCUCGAUCAGCUUACUCAGAGUUUUGCUAGAAAGGGCCUGACACAGGAGGACUUGGUCACCCUCUCUGGUGCGUACAUAUGUGAUGCCAUCGAUCGUCUAGGCUGCUUCCAUUCAACUUAUAAGUAAACAAUAUAUCAACUACCUACCUAUCGUCACUAAGAGAUGAUAUCCCGUGGUGUUGUAACCAGGUGCACAUUCCAUUGGGAAAGCUGACUGUUCCUCGUUCAGCAACAGGCUCUACAACUUUAACUCAACCGUGCAGACGGACCCGAGCCUGGACCCAGCCUACGCAGCCCAGCUGAAGCAAAAGUGUCCCCCGGGCACCACGGGUUCGAGCGUGCCCAUGGACCCUCCCUCUCCCGAGGUCCUCGAUUCCAGCUACUACAAAGGCGUUAUCGAGAACCGUGGCCUGUUCACCUCUGAUCAGGCGCUCAUGUCCAGUCCGGUAACGGCGAGGCAAGUGAGGGCCAACCGGAACAACAAUUUUCUUUUCAACAAGAAUUUCGCGGCGGCAAUGGUGAAGAUGGGUAAGAUUGACGUCCUCACUGGGACCGCAGGCGAGAUCCGCUUGAACUGUAGGGUCGUCAACAAAUGAUUUUUAUGGGUCAUCAACGUUAUCGCUAUACCUGUCCUGUGUAUCUAAUGGUGUCUCGCUCCAUGGGCAAAGUAUAAAGCUCCUGGAGAAAACCUAUGUGCACGUACUUUGUUCUGUGGCGUUAUACUGAAGUACGCCAUCGUUUGUCAAUUAUUUGUCAAAUAGCAAUAUAUUUGUUGUAAAGGUACUCAUAAUCGGCGCAAAAAAGGAAAGAUUCAAUGUGUCCUCGUACACCAUUCUAGUCACACAUUUCCAAUGGUACUCUUAUAUUUCUUAGAUUUUGAGAGUCGGGAAUACAUACCUAUGACCUUCGGACGAUGGACAUAUAUUCUGGGUUGUGUAAGAAAUUCCGUGAAUUUAGGGUUGAGAUGUGUAGGAAACGGACUUUGCCCUCACAUUAAAACUUUUGUUGAAAUUUGUUUUUCUUGCAGACUAAGAAACUAGACCCUAUAUAAUUUUUAAUGAUCUGAAUAAUAAAUGGUGAACUUAAGGAGAGUUUUGCGGCAAGUCCCAUAUCUGUGGAUUGCUAUUUAGGGAUUAGGAUGCGUGAAUAAAAAUUCCAAAUGAUUAAUUGAAGCUUCCUUUCUUUCGUAAACGAAAUUAUGAUGUUGAUCCCAUUUUGAUAAGGACACACCUGGUUCUUUGUUUCACGUAAAGCAAGUUAAAGAGUGAAGAAAAAUACUGAACAGCGGGAUGGGGAAAAAGGGAGAGGGGGUGGGGCGGCAGCGCAGCCCUACCCGCUGCAUGGAAAAGGUCAUACGUCGUGACAUUCGGACGAAUAUAGACUCGGUAUGUAACUCUUGAUGGAGUAUAAGAAAACGUCGCCUCUCUGUCGAACAAGUCACUAUUCGCUGAACAACGUAGAUGUGUGAGUUCUGAAUCUGAUUUCCCUUUUGGUCUCGUUCGUUUGUUCGUUUGUUUCACGUCUGUGAGAUACGAUGCAACAGUUCCUUAGAAGAUGGGACCUCUGGUUCCCCGGCCAUCAGGAGUACCGUCUUGAGGGGACAAUAGGCCUAAUCCAAAGGCUUAAUAUGUCCAAGCAGUUUGGGCACGUUCCAGGUCCGAUAUAAAAUGGCUGAUCGUAAUAGUAUUAUAUUGUAGUAGUACACGUGGUCGCUGACUCAGCUCUUAUCCACGAACAGCAUAGAUCCCAAUGAAGACUGCGGAUCAACGGGGAACCAAGACAUGGGUUCAGUGGGAUAAAGUAAAUAGAAAAUUAAGUAUGGCAAUAGAGCUUUUUUGGUUGAUUUNNNNNNNNNNNNNNNNNNNNNNNNNNNNNNNNNNNNNNNNNNNNNNNNNNNNNNNNNNNNNNNNNNNNNNNNNNNNNNNNNNNNNNNNNNNNNNNNNNNNAGAGAGAGAGAGAGAGAUUUCUUUAGCAACAUAAAAUAUGAAAAACAGGGUACUAGAAUACCCGAACCUCUUUUUGACUCCCUGUAGAUUGUCUACUUCUUUAAAUCGAAAGGAAGCCAAUAAAUCGAAUAAAUGGAAUCACUUAUUAUCACCUAACCAGACCCAAAAUUUUCUUAACUCACUUCCACUCUUUACAAAUGUUCCCGACCCCUACCGUCAUGCGAAAGCUUCUCCCAUGUAGCAACCUCUUCAAUAGAGGAAGAAGGGAAAGACCAAGGGAGAGACAAAGGGAGGGAGGGAGGGAGGUGGUGACCCUCAGAAUGAAGGUGACAUAAUGACCAUACACUUUCGAACUGUAAUUAGCUGCUCGGUGGCACUAAAAAUAAAAUAUUUGAAAUAUAUUUUCACUGUUCUCUAGUCGCUUUUUGAUCCACUUCAAAUUAUUUUUAUGCCCAUUUUCCAAAAGAGCACAAGCCAUGGAAGUCAACCGUUAAGCGUGGUUGCCCGGAAAAAUCGAGAUAGUUAAAGGGAGAUUAGUCGUGGGACCCCGUCGGCUACAAUUCGGCGGCGGCCGUGAUUUGGGGCAGGUUUUUCCUUCAUGAAUUCGUCAUUCUUGUGCUUUAUGACGUCAUCACCUGAGAUCGCUCAUAUCCGUUGAAGUUUGUGGCCAAUAUUUUUUCACCGGUUGCUGGUAACACCGGCGUUACAUCAACAAUUUUCUGACUUCACUGAUUUAAAUAAUAAAUAGGUCAAUUUCCACGAUCAAUUCUCCAAUUACAUUUGCGGCCAAAAGUCAGAGCCUAAUCAGAGUAUCAAAAUUUUCUUUGGCGUCGGAAGCUCAGCGACCGUGGACGGCGGAGAGGGUGACGUCGUUGACGGUGCAGGUAAGCCCCUUGAUCGACAUCGAGGAGCCCGCGGCACGCACCCUCGCCAGUACAAACUCCGGCUGCUUCGGGUGCGCCAGCGCUGCAGUGUCACCGCCGAGCAUGAGAACUACUGAUGCCAUCUCCGGCCGGUCCUCCGGCCGGUCCUGCACGCAGAGGAGGGCGACCUUUAUGCACUGUUGAACCUCCACCAAGGGGAUGGGGUACCCCAGCAAGGAGUCCACCAGCUCCAGCCCUCUGCCUUCCUUCCAUAAACUCCAUGCCUGCGAAGAGCACCCACCCAUGGUCAGACUAAAAGCUUCUCAUUAAGCUCCUCUAUGGUUGGUCUCUCUCUCUCUCUCUCUCGAUACUUACAUAGCCCAGGAGAUUGAGUUUUUGAUCGGUGUGCAAGAUGCCCCUGUUUCUUCUGCCGCUGACGAUCUCAAGCACGAGGACACCAAAGCUGAAGACGUCGGAUUUCGCUGAAAAUGUCCCCUCCAUGGCAUACUCCGGCGACAUGUACCCGCUGCAGCAAGGAGAUCAGCAGCUUCUAGAUAGGUCGAGCUUUGAAGAUCGAAAAGCAAAGUGAAGGUGAGGAGUCAGAGGAAGGGUGUGAGAGAGAGAGAGAGAGAGAGUGAAUUUGCCUGGGAGAUGAACUGAAGAGAGAAAGAAAGAGGGACAUGGCGCUGACAGAGGUAGUCAGAAAGAGAGACAUAGAAGGUUCGGAUGGACAGGGGAGCAAGACAGAGAGAGGAGACUAACUAGGUUCCGACGAUCCUUCGAGUGAUUCCCUCGGUCUCGUCGCCGGCAAAGAUCCGGGCCAUGCCGAAGUCAGAGAUCUUAGGGUUCAUGCCGUCAUCGAGGAGGACGUUGCCGGCCUUGAGAUCCCUGUGGAUGAUCCGGAAGCGGGAGUCCUGGUGAAGAUAGAGCAGCCCGCGAGCAAUCCCCCCUAUUAUCCGCCACCUCGUCGUCCAAUCCAACAGCGCUGCCUUGGUUUCGUCUGCCAGGAUAUAGAACUCCUUUAGACAGAGAGAGAGAGAGAGAGAGAGAGAGAGAGAGAGAGAGAGAGACGAGAGAGAGAGAGAGAGAGAGAGAGAGAGAGAGAGAGAGAGAGAGAGAGAGAGAGAGAGAGAGAGAGAGAGAGAGAGAGAGAGAGAGAGAGAGAGAGAGAGAGAGAGAGAGNNNNNNNNNNNNNNNNNNNNNNNNNNNNNNNNNNNNNNNNNNNNNNNNNNNNNNNNNNNNNNNNNNNNNNNNNNNNNNNNNNNNNNNNNNNNNNNNNNNNUCUCUCUCUCUCUCUCUCUCUCUCUCUCCCUCUCUCUCUCUCUCACUCACUUCCUUGAGUCCUCUUCCCCAUUAGUGACAAGGGGUUAAGAAUUUCAAGUAUUGAGAGCUUUGAUCUCCUCUCUCUUUGCUUCUUCUCACCCCCUUUCAGCCACCAAGCUCUUCUCAUCUUGAAGUGACACAAGGUGGGGAGAACUAAUUGGCCAUAAAGGAGAUUUACUUUCAAGCAAUUUACAUUUCAACAUUUAAGUUCAGUUUAUGUCUUUCUUUUUAUGCUUCAAUUUCUUUUAUAGAAUAAUCACAAAUAUCUCUCUUGAAGUCUUCUUAAACAUUUAUUGAAUAUCCACUUAUAUUUUAUUGUAAUUCGAUGUUUGAUUUCUCGCUUCCUUGUGGAUUGACUUGGACUCACCCUAUAUUCAUUUCCUUUGAAUUAAAGUCCAAUAUAUAAAUGUUAUUUGAUUAACCAUUAAUCCUAACGACAAUUUUUGGUUCAUCAAAUUGGCGCCGUUGCCGGGGAAGCUUUCGUCAAACAUCAAUUUUUUUUUAGAAAGUUUUUCUUAUUAUAUCUUUACUGACUUUUAGUCAAGCCAAGCACUCCAAGGAAUUUGCACAAAGGGUAAGUCUAAACUUGAAUUCAUUUUAUGCUUGGUAGAAGAUCAUUGCAUCCUAGCUUAACUUCAUUAGAAGCCACUCCCACCAUUUCCAAAUCUUCUAAAAUGGCUGAAAAUUCUGAAGAAAAAUCACUAAGAGAUUAUUUCAAUCCUACUAAUAGUUUAGAUCUCUUUCAAAAUCCUACUUGCACUCAUGAUAUUAUUCCAGGCAUUUUUCAAAUUCUCCCUCAUUUUUAUGGAAAGAUAAAUGAAAAUACUUAUGAUCACUUGUAAGAAUUUUUAAAGAUAUGUGCUACAAUUCGUAAUUGUGAUGACUCUUUGAAAAUCACUUUAUUUCCUUUUUCUUUGAAAGUUGAAGCCUCUCAUUGGAUAUCUACUUUGAAUUUACAAACCAUUACUUGGCCCAAAUUAGUGCAAGAAUUUUUAACUAAGUUUUACCCUAGAGGAAAAACAAAUAUGAUGCGCAAAAUGAUCAUGAGUUUUUUGCAUAAUGCAUGGACUAGAUUUAAAAAUACACUUAGAAAAUGCCCACAUCAUGGUGUUCCUAAAUGGUAGCUUAUUCAAAUUUUUUAUGAAGGGCUUAAUUAUCAACACAAACAAAUGAUUGAUGCAUCUUGUGGGGGGUCUUAUGCUAACAAGAGGGAAGAUCAUGUAUAUAAUCUCUUAGAAGAACUUAGUGAAAAUUCUUAUAAUUAUGCUUCUUCUGAUUAUGAUUGCACUAACCCUCCUCUCAAGAAAGAUGGAGUUUAUGAACUUGUUAAACAUGCAGAUAAGGAGCUUUGCAAUGAGGUGACAGAGAUUCACAAGAAGCUAGAGAAGCUUCUCUCUAUACAAGGUACAUCUAGUUCUAACCCCUCACCUCCUAAGGCUUUCAUAUGCUCCAUUUGUUUUAAUAAUGAUCAUGAUGAGAAUAGGUGUCCUGCUUUUCUAGAGGUAGUAAAUAAUGAGCAUGUAAAUGCAUUUAACCAAUCUCCCUUAGGAAAUUCAUGGAGAACCAAUCAAGUAUCUCAAGGAUAUCAAAAACAACCCUCUUCGAAUUUCCAAUCUCAAAACAAUUUUCAAAGACCUCAAGGUUUUCAAAACCCUCCCCAAUUUCAAAAUCCUCAAGGUUUUCAAAACACUCAAGGUCUUCAAAAUCAUAACUCUCCACCUAUUCUCCCUUACCCACCAAGGAAUGCCUAUCAAGCAAACCCUAACCAACCACACCUAAAUAGGCAACCAAUAGGAGGACCUCAACCACCACAACCGCCUCCCAUCACCCAACUAGAAGACACGGUUAGGGUCCUUAAAGAGUAAAUGGGACAACAUCAACAAGCCUUAAACCUCCUUAUGUCUCAAAAUCAACAACUUCUCCAACUUCUCCAAGGAAACCUAGCCCAAUCUAAUGAGUCCAACCCUAGGGGCCAACUUCCUAGCCAAACUAUCCCUAACCUUNNNNNNNNNNNNNNNNNNNNNNNNNNNNNNNNNNNNNNNNNNNNNNNNNNNNNNNNNNNNNNNNNNNNNNNNNNNNNNNNNNNNNNNNNNNNNNNNNNNNGAGAGAGAGAGAGAUAACUUCUGAAAAUUAUAUAUUAAUGUGUUACUAAAUCAAGGAGAAUAAUACAUAUUUGAGAAUUAUUUCACAAGUUAUCAUGUUAAUUAUUUGACUUGUCAUUUUGAUAAACCUCCUUAAAUCUUAAUUUAAAUUGAUAUUUUAUAAAUAAAAAAUAUUGAUGAAAAUUUAUUUCAUAUGUUGAAGUUUUAUUUUCAUUUAGUUUAUUUUUAAAUGAAAUAUUAUUGUGUUAAAUUUUUAUGAUUAACUAAAAUAUAUUUUCUACAAUUUUUCCAAAUUUUUAGGUAUUAAAAUAAAUAUCAAUUUAAAAUAUAAAUAGACAAAAUGGGUGUACUAUUAGUAGGCUAGAGGCACACCGCCUAAUAGGCCUGCAUGGGCUAGAGGCCACACUACGCUUGGUAGCAAGCCUAAGGGGCACACCGCCUAACAAGCCAAAUGCAGGCUGGAGGCCACAUUGUGCCUGAUAGCAGGCCUAAGAGGCACACCGCCUCUUGACCCGUGUAAACCAGGUCGUGGAUUUGGAUUAUGGUUUGGGCCGAAUAGAUCACCUCCAAUGCCUACUAGGAGCUGGGUUUCAAUCAAAAUCAUCCUUGGGAGCUUGUAGUCAAGUUCGGUCAACCCUUUAGGAAGUGCAUACAUUUAUUGAGGCAUAUUGAUAAAUAUAUAGAACUUUAUAUUUCUGUAACUUCAGAUAUGGGACUAAAUGGCUCUUCUUGUCAUUUUCAGAUUCAAUGAUAGAGCGGUAGCUGCAGCAAAGAUUCGAUGCACUAGAAGUGGCCACGUUACCGCCCACCAUUGCACAAAAAAAGUAGUGCCAAAUCUAAUGGCAGCUGCCAUCAGAUCGGAUGCACUAGAAGCGACCACGUCACCCCCCACCAUUGCACAAAAAGUAGCACCAAAUCUAAUGGCAGCCGCCAUUAGAUCGGACGCACCAAAGGAGGCCAUGUCCCCAUCCACCAACACGUGGUAGGGUGCCCACACAGAUCUCGAUAAAGCAUGUGAAAAAGUAGUGAGAGCUCUAAUAGAUCUGACGACGAUUAAGAGGCCAUGUCAUUCUCUUCAAAACAAAAUUAUGGUGCAAGAAUCCAAUGGUCUUCAUUGAGCCACCCGAUUGAGGACAUGUUGACAAAUGUUAGUUAUUAUUUGGUAAAAUAGACAUUUUUCAAUAUUGAUUAUUCUCUCACACAAGAUAAGGGUAUAUUUGUAAUUAUUGAUUAUCAUUUGGUAAAAUAGACAAUAUCGGUUAUUGCCACAUAAGAAAAAGGGAAAAUGUUAGAAAAAUCAGAGAAAAAUCAGAAAAAUAUGAGAGAAAAUAGGAAGUUAAAAUGGAAAACACGAUUUGUAGUUCUGGAGAAAAACAAAGGAGGAAGAGGAAAGAGAAAGAGAUACUUUUCGAGUUGUUUUUGAGUUGUUCUUGAGAGGAAACAAUUGUUUUUCUUUUUCAUGUAAAAAUAGAUUUCUAAAGAAUGCAUCAUUGAUUUUUGAUCGUUCUCUUAUACCCUUCUCACCUUAAAUCCAUUCCGUUGAACUAGAUGCAAGAUUGGGAAGUGCUACUCAGAGGUUGACAUCAAGUCAUACAUUCCAAGGGUUCUAAGUUUGAUUUUUAAUAAAGUUUUCAUUAUUUGCUUGUUUGAUCUAUGAAAUAAAUUUAUUUUCUUAACUUUAAUCAUUUUUUUACUUGUUUCUUUUCUAUUUUCAUCAUUCUAAAGUAUAUUUCAUUUUAGUAGAAUUUUCAAUUCACAUUUACAUUUAUUUACCAUUUUAUUUCCUUCAUUACUUUGAAUAUCAAAUUCAUAAUCCAUUAAAUAAGAUAAUAAAAGAUUUCUAAAAAGCUCUCCAUGAGGAGAUGACCUAGCUCACCAUUAUAUUCAUUUAAUAUUAUUUUUGGUGAAUUUAGUUUUAAAAAUUAUUAAAAUUGAAUGAUAAUUUUAAUAAUGACUUAGAGUCACAUUAGAGAGAGAGAGAGAGAGAGAGAGAGAGAGAGAGAGAGAGAGAGAGAGAGAGAGAGAGAGAGAGAGAGAGAGAGNNNNNNNNNNNNNNNNNNNNNNNNNNNNNNNNNNNNNNNNNNNNNNNNNNNNNNNNNNNNNNNNNNNNNNNNNNNNNNNNNNNNNNNNNNNNNNNNNNNNCUCUCUCUCUCUCUCUCUCUCUCUCUCUAUAUAUAUAUAUAUAUAUAUAUAUAUAUAUAUCACUAGGCUGAACAUUACUUAAGGCAGAUUUCCUCGUCUAGGAAAAAGGAACUAGGAAAAACCAGGUACGUGGGGUGAGGAGAGCUAAUUUUCAGGAAAAAUCCGACCGUUGAUCUCAUUUCGAUUGCAAAUGGCUUUUGAUUCUUUUGGCAUGAACUUUGACGGGUGGAAAAGGAGGGAAUGAAAUGCCAUCUAACAACUGGACUAUUUAUAAUGUGUUGGCUAGAAUCCUGUAGAGUCAGGUCAACAACAAGCUUACUCGAAAAAAUAGUGCUCGUAAAUCAGAGAUUGCAAGAACAUAUGCUUUUGUUGGGAACAUCACUUUUAAGAGUAUUUCUUGUAACCAUCGAAGGAUUCUAGGAAGAAGAAUUCACUUGUUGCAGGGGCAUACUGACAGCUGCCGCAUGUACCAACCCCUGUAAUGAAUUAAGGUAGCUUCAUGAACACUGAAACAAGCAAUGUUGGCAACGGUGGUUUACAAGCACGUCCUUAUUAUGCCCAGGAUGACUGUCAAAAGGGGAACCUUCAAAGAAGUGGAGAGGAAGAAAAAUAGGGAAGAAUGAGCACAAAAAUAUUGUCAAUUGCUUCAUUUAUUGGCUAAUGAACCCGGUUGUUCAUUUAUUUCCCAAUUUAGCAGGCCCAUGUCAAUUGGGCAUUGUCAAGGGCUAAAUAUUCAGAUUCUUUAGAGCGCAAAGAAUGACACAGUAGUAUGAUAUGAUUAGACGGUUCAAAUUAAUCAGCCACACCCUUUUGAGUCCCAGUUACAGUCAGCAUAACUACUGGCUCUUACCACUUCUGGCCAAGCACUACCUGCAACUUUUUCUUAUCGCAGCUGCCUGUUUUGGUGUAUCCAGAGAUCGGCCUGGGUUUGACUGGCUUUGGGACGCUCUUCUCAUUUCUGGGCAUCAUCUUCUUCUUCGACAAGGGUCUCCUCGCCAUGGGAAAUGUAAGUGAAGCUUCCAUGAACUGGAAAGACCGAGGAUCUCUUCCUUCCUGAAGCUGUUUUGACUUUGAUCCUUCCUUCUCAGAUCCUCUUUGUGUCGGGGGUGAUGUUGACCAUCGGAUUGAAGUCAACCGUACAGUUCUUCACCAAACGCAAGAACUACAAGGUUUGACCGCGCGUUCACUGAGAGAAUCCCCACAAGCCCCUUUUCCCUGGCCGCCUUAUGACUCACACCUGGGCCAAAUUUUGCUAAUUUUAUCAGGGUACGAUCUCAUUUAGCAUUGGGUUCUUUCUAGUCCUGAUCGGAUGGCCCGUUUGUGGGAUGAUCUUGGAGGCGUACGGCUUCAUCGUUCUCUUCAGGUAUGUCGGCUUCUUCUUUCUUCCCUCUCAUCAAGCUGGGCCAGUGGGCCCCAUGAAGCAUGGGCUGGGCCACAGCGAAGCCCGGCCCGAAAAAGUCUCCUGUAGGAAUCACAGUAGAAUCACAUGUGGCCCACACAAAAACAUGGGAAAGUUGGGUUCAUGCCGGGCCAAAUGUGAAGCCCGGCCCGGAAAAUAUCCUCUGGAAAUGAUCCUGGGAUCUCAUGGGCCCACCGAAAAACCUAGAAAGCCUCUUCUGGAGAUGACCCGGGAAUCAGAUGGCUUCUUCUCGUGGGCAUCCCUCUUGCGUUGACCUCCAUCUGCUCUCUGAUUCUUCAAGGUGUUAGUUCACUAACUGGCGGCAAUUUGGUUGUCUGGCAGCGGGUUCUGGCCGACCCUGGCGGUGUUCCUCCAGAGGAUCCCCAUCCUCGGAUGGCUCUUUCAGCAACCCUUUGUGACGGCGGUAAGUCAGCCUGCCACAAAAGUCAACUUACUACGAUAAGUCAACCCAUUAUGAAUCUCUCUAUGAUGUUUGACCUCGGCCCCUCCAUCUCUGACUUCAGUUCUUGGAUCGUUACCGGGGGAAGCGGGUCCCAGUGUGAGGCUGCCUCUGUAAGAUAUCGAGAACCCGCCUCUCUCCCCUGUCCUCUCUCUCUCUCUCUCUCUCUCUCUCUCUCUCNNNNNNNNNNNNNNNNNNNNNNNNNNNNNNNNNNNNNNNNNNNNNNNNNNNNNNNNNNNNNNNNNNNNNNNNNNNNNNNNNNNNNNNNNNNNNNNNNNNNACGAGAGAGAGGAGGUCGUCACUCAGAAGAAGGAGAGAGAGAGAGAGAGAGAGAGAGAGAGAGAUUCUUGGGUCUGACGGACAAUGGAUACGCAUAAAUAUCAGACCGAGUCAGUCUUCGGAGUCUGGUGGUGGGAGGACGAGGUAGUCGCCGCGGGGGGAACGUGGCCGGAUUUCCGGCCGGGGAGAGACGUACCCGGCGAGGAGAUGGGAAUGGGCUGGGCGUGACCACGGGCAUGGGAUAUUCGCCCCGGGAUUCCGGGCCUUGGAGCCCUCGCCAACGACCUCCUCCCUCCUCCAAGGAGCGGCUGAGUGCGACGGGCGGCGACGGCCGGGCGCAGGGGAGAAUAUUCAACGCAAGCGGGGGGAAUAUCCGCUUCCCUUCCGCGUCUCUCAUUCGACCGCCCGCCCGCGGGAAUUAUCUAUGGAUCUAUCUGUCCAUCGCCUGGCCAACCCCGAGCGGGUUGGCUGUCCCCCGCCGUCUCUCACUCGACCACGUUGGCCCUCAGGUUGACGUGUGCCGGCCGGCUGGAAGCUCCGCGGCAACGCUCCCCGACGGACGAGCCGUGGCCAUAAUCUUCCAGGCGUCAGAUAUCCACGCUCAACGAAUCCGCGGCCCCGUCGCGGUCCAAGAUUUUCUCUCCGAGUCGCACAUCUUUUUCCGCCGACCGCGAGCGCUUCCUCCUCCCUCACAGAGGCCCCACUCCGGCGCGCACCGUGUGUGCUGUAAGGAAGCAUGCCGCUCUCAGAGACCCCAAAGUCUAGGGUUCGCCGAUCAUGAUCGAUCGUCGAUCCGAUCAGCCAUAAUCGCUGAUCGUGAUCGUUGAUCGUCGUGAUCGACGAUCUCACCGAUCGUGACCGGGUGAUCGUCAGAAAUAAUAUUAUAUUAUACUAGUCCUUGAUAUUAUAUAUAAAUAAAUGCACAAUAAAUAUAUCGAUUACUUAUAUAGGUAAAUAAGAUAUAAAUAAGCGUACAAAUAUCUAAAAGUAUAUAAAUAUAAAUAUAUCGUACCAGAUAAACAUAGGCGUAGUAUAUAUUGUUAUAAUAUGCCUAAAUGUUAUAUAUGACUAUGCAUAUGAUAUAUAUUAUACGUAAGUAUUACAUAUAAAAUAUAUAAAUUUAUAAACUACGUAAUAUGAUGAAUAACGCAUAUUUGUAGUAAACACGUAAAAAGAGUAAAAAGAGAGUAAGAGAGGGAGGGGCCGUGGUAGCUGACUUGGCAAUGGAAGUGAUGUUGGUGGCGACAAAGUCAUGGGGAGGAGAGAGAGGCUGCAGUGGUGAAGCUUUUAGACAAAAAGAGAGAGGAGGCGAUUGGAAGGGGGGUGGGACUCGGAGUUGAGAGAGAGAAAGAGGGAGAUUUAAUCUUUCUCUCUUAAGUUAAAUCACAACUGUUGGAUGAUGGAAAGUCAUCAUGAUCCAAUCGAUGGUUAAUUGUAAGAUCAUGAUCCACCCAUAGAUCGAUGAUUGAUCAAGGCCCUAGAUCAUGAUCGUAAUUGUCACCAUUUUCACCGAUUAUGAUAGACGAUGAUCAUGAUUGUCAAUUUGAUGAUCGAUCGAUCAUUGAUUGAUGUACCCUAGAGAUCGAUCAAUUUGAUCGAUCGAUCGAUGAAAAGUCAUCAUUUAAUGGAUGGUCAAUCGUAGGAUCAUGAUCCACUAGUUGAUCGAUGAUCGAUUGAGGGCCCAUAUCGUGAUCGUGAUCUUCACCACUUUUCACUAAUUGUGAUUAACGAUCAAUCGAUUAUGAUCGAUAUACCCCCACCCCAAACAGUAGCCAAACCACUGCACGUCGAGAGCAGCCCACCAAGAGGCUUUGGUUCCACAGAGAGGAAGUGGAGCAGAUGAGGGUUUUUGAGACUCAACCGACCAUCUGCGGUCCUCCACCGAAGGUCGACCUUCCUCCCCGGCUUGCAAAAGUUGCGUUGAGCUCAGAGCCCCCCACACCUCCCCCCCGGGCCCCAGAGAGAGAGAGAGAGAGAGAGAGAGGACGGUCGUUGGUUCGUGGUGGUCGGUCGACGGUCGGUCGGUCGGGACGACGNNNNNNNNNNNNNNNNNNNNNNNNNNNNNNNNNNNNNNNNNNNNNNNNNNNNNNNNNNNNNNNNNNNNNNNNNNNNNNNNNNNNNNNNNNNNNNNNNNNNGAGAGAGAGAGAGAGAGAGAGAGAGAGAGAGAGAGAGAGAGAGAGAGAGAGAGAGAGAGAGAGAGAGAGAGAGAGAGAGAGAGAGAGAGAGAGAGAGAGAGAGAGAGAGAGAGAGAGAGAGAGAGACAGAGAGAGACAGAGAGACAGAGAGAGAGAGUGUGAGAGAGAUUCCUGGUUGCUAAACGAAGCCGGUGCCGUCUGUUUUAUAGCACAGAAGCAGUGGAGGGAGGAGUGGAGAUGGACGAGACCCUCUGCGGUUUCCCCGUGAAGGGAGAGGAGAUGCCCGGCGAGCGCCAGCUGACGCCGGCCGCACGUGUCCCUCGACGAGAAGGGGGCGAGGCGCCGCCGGCGGAAGUGGGGCCCACAACCACGCCCGGCUUUCCCGCGCAGCAGAAUCAGCCCGAAGCGGAUUAAUGUCUCUGUGGGUCCCCGUGUUUAGACCGUUGCAACUUGCCUAAACGACGCCAUAUGCUGAGUUGGAAGAUAUUUACUAGCCCCAUACUUAUCUUCAACUCUAAUUUUUUUUUCUGCUUACACUUUUUCUUUACGGAAAUUAAUUUAAAACCCAUUAAUCUCUACAAUGUCUACACCUAUGUUUCUUCUUCUUAUUGUGGUCUCAGCCAUUAAUUGAGAAUAUGAAAAUGCGUUUAUAGUGGUCAUGCUAUUAAAAAUAUCCCAUUUUUACUAAAAAUAAUCCUCACUUCUGAUGAAAGUUCUUGAUCCUGUAGACUAGAUUAGAUGUAAGAAUCUUCUAGACUAAUUUUCUUAACUUUGCAUUAAUGUAGGACCCAUUAUUGUUAAGCAUCAAUUGAAGGGCCAUAUGACUCCACAAAGAAAAAAAUAGAAUAACAUGAUAAAAUCUUUGGAUUAAUCUGUUUACUUUGAUAAACCCAAGUCAUUUUGAGAAAUAAAGAAGUAGAUAAAUGAUGUGGCAUUAUUCCUAUGACAAUAUCAUCCAACAAAGAUCCUUAACAUGAUGAACUAGCACAAGAAAGUGGAAACUUGCACUUUUUCGAGUCGACACGAAGAGUAUUAUGGGUUGUGAUCAUUCACUAUCACUAAAUAAACAGCUUGAGGGCAGCCAAAAGCAUGUUUGGAAAUGUGAUCAAAGGAUUAGUCGAGAAUCAGGAUGGCAAACACCCUUGCUUGAAUGUGCUAAAAUGGUACAUGGUAUGAUGCCUAAGCAGAUAAAGAUGAAUAAGAAUCAUAAUUUUUUUUUUGUGUCAAUGUGAUAGGAAGACUUACAAUGGGUCAUAGUUACAACUGGCACCAUUUCUAGUGGUAUGAUUUCUUCAACUUUCAUCAAGGAAAAUCUAAAAGAAAUAAAAGCUUGCGAUUCCUGAAGGGGUUAAUUAAUUUCUUGUCUUAGAAAAAGUUAGUGGACACUUGGUACAGUGCCAUUAGAUAGGACUAUAUAAAAUUAGAGGCUUGGGAUUAUUACCAUAUAGUGAUGCAUCACAAAUCCCAAAGACGUUUUAUGAAAUGGAUCUACCAAAGAUAUGAUAAACUACUCAAAUGGGAAGCAAUGAUAUGGUGGAUGCCCAAUGGAAGAAAUAACAGUAGAAAGUCUAUAAAGAUACUUAAAUGGAUAGAGCUAACAAAUGUAGGCCCAUGUGACUUUUUAUUUCAAUGGGUCAACUUGUAGUAAAAAAAUCAACUUUAAUUACGAAUAUUUGAAAAAAAUGGUUCAACUUUCUACUUUUCUCACAAUAUAUCUACAUAUAUCCGUGUGUUAUGAAAAUCAUAGAGUAAACCAUGGCAUGAUAAAUGGUCAUCAUUAGGACGUUGGUAUUUUCACAGGACUACAGAUAAACCUACCCCACUUUUUGUAAACCUCCUUGAAAAAGAGACAAGUUGUGUAAAGUAUCACAAUUUGUCGUGAUAAUCAUACAGUCUAACAACAAGGAACAAAAUUGGUGUUAUUGGUUAAAAAAAAAGAAAAGGAAAGCCAAUUCCGAGCUUCUGUGCUUGGACUUUUGAUGCCUUGACUAGCUUGGAUCCCCUCAAAGACUCUUAAGUUUACCCUCUCUCUCUCUCUCNNNNNNNNNNNNNNNNNNNNNNNNNNNNNNNNNNNNNNNNNNNNNNNNNNNNNNNNNNNNNNNNNNNNNNNNNNNNNNNNNNNNNNNNNNNNNNNNNNNNUCUCUCUCUCUCUCUCUCUCUCUCUCUCCUCUCUCUCUCUCUCUCUGUGUCUCUCUGUAUAUAUAUAUAGAUGUAUGUGGAAAAAGCAAAUGGGUGAACGGCACCAUGGAGUAUAAACCAGGAAAAAGGACGAAGAGGGAGGAGAAUAUCUUAAUUCUCUCACUUCCCUAUCUCUAUUUUCCAUCUCCCGGCAGCCCCUCUCAACCUGGCUCCCCCACCCUCCCCCACAGUCACGAACGCCUCCUGCUUUCUGUGCCAUGCCCACCGCCCCCCGCCCAAUACUCCAUCGCAUUCUCUACAUCCCCCUCCUCCUCCCUUAUUCCCCCUCCCCCCCUCCUCUGUCUCUGUCUCUCUCUCUCUCUAUCUCCGCCCUGAAUCCAUUCAUCCGACGUCGGAGCUGAAGGUUGUCGACCCGCAGAGUUUCCCGACUGGGUCUGUAUUUUUCGAGGAUUCACAGCGACGAGGAGCUCCGUUCGGGGGAGGAUUCCCAGAAUUUCUACAUGGAGGGCAGAGGUCUGCGAUGCCUGCCCCUCCUCCUUCUGCUUGCUGUACCCUUGAACCUCCCGUAGUUCUGCCCUCUUCGCCCUUUCUCUCUCUACUGUUAGUUUCCGUCAACCGGAGCCGUUUUGGGUCCUCUCGAAAGGGCCUCGAUGCUCUCCCCUACGAGGGUUUGGAUCUUGCGGCAGCUACACCGGCAGUCUGAAUUAUGCAGAUUUUCUCUCUCUAGAACAGCUGAAUCCGCUUCUUGGACCCCCAGCCCUUCUUCCGGUGAAACCGGCGAAGGAGCAUGAACAGCGAAGAUAUCUUCCUGAAGAAGAGAGUACGAAGAAAGGGGGGGAGAACCAGAGCCUUCUCCCCGUCUUCAACAUUGCUGACUUCUGCAUCUAUUGGCCUCCCUUUCUAAUCAGGAAGCGGUGGAUAUCUUGGGUUUUCUGUAUUUUAUGUUCGUGUUUAGAAAUAUUUUCAUAAUUUCCUUGGCUCAUGGUUGACCCAGAGAUUCCCAUAAAUUUGAGUCAACGAGGGCAGAUCUUUUCAUUUAUUUCAGCUCCAAUUAGUCAACGGCUUUAAUGCCUUCUUCUUCUUCUCCUUCUUCACGAGGAUUUCAGCGCCGGAAUGAUUUCGGUAGAAAAAGGCCGAAGAUUUUCAGCUCCACGAGGAUGAACAGAUGCAAUGUGGAGCCCUCCGAGGCCACGUCGGAGGUCUGCAGCCAGGUGGCCUCCAACCGCUCGAACCAGGAGGAGGCGACGGCCACCUCCCCGGGGAAGCUCUCACUGGACCUCUCCCUCUCCAGUACCGGCGAGAGCUUCACCGGAGCUCCUCCCCGCAGCGGCGGCGCCCCCGCCGCCAUGGCCCCCAGAGUCUUCUCCUGCAACUACUGCCGCCGCAAGUUCUUCAGCUCGCAGGCACUGGGGGGCCACCAGAACGCCCACAAGAGGGAGAGAACCAUGGCGAAGAGGGGCCUGCAACUGAGCUCCUUCCCCUCUUGCCCCAGCCUGGCUUCCCUCCCCCUCCAUGGCUCCUCUCAGGUGAUGGCUAUGGAGAUCAAAGCUCACGCCUUGCCGCACCGCGAGGGGCGCCGUGGCCGGGCGCCGAUGCUCUUGGAGGAGAAGGGAGAUGGGUUCUUCUUUGCCCGGAGCUUCCCCGGCGCCGGAAUCCCCCCCAGCUCGCCGGCGCCGGCGCCGGCGGAGGAGCUCGACCUCACCCUGAGACUGUGAACAAGUCUCCAUUCACUGUCCAUUGGUUUCGGAUCGGAUAGCUCGAUACCGUUCUCAAGUCAUCGUGAUCUGUGUGCGCUUUACUUAUGGAUUUGACCACGAUGGUUGACUUUAAGCAGGUGGGGGCGCUGACUUGGAUGUUGGUGUUCUUGGGGGAGGAGGAGGGGGAUGGACACCUCUCGUUCUGGAAUUGGAUGACUCAGAUCUUAUGGCCACAUAUCUGGAAUUUGAGAAUGAGCCAGGUUUGACUCUGAGCAGGUUGGUUGGGUUGACUUUGGCACAAUGUGCAGAUGCUAUGUCUUAGAGGGAGAGAGAGAGAGAGANNNNNNNNNNNNNNNNNNNNNNNNNNNNNNNNNNNNNNNNNNNNNNNNNNNNNNNNNNNNNNNNNNNNNNNNNNNNNNNNNNNNNNNNNNNNNNNNNNNNCGUCUCUCUCUCUCUCUCUCUCUCUCUCUCAUCUAUCUAUUUAUCUGUCUCUCUCCCUGGGCAUUGGAAUGGAGAACCUGCAGCACCACCACCGUCCACAGCCGGGCCUCCCCGGCGUGCUGAUGAAACGGCUGACAGGCGCACCCCUCCGUCUCUCUCUCAUCACCCCGCUCUCUCUCCUCCUCCUCGUCGUCUUCCUCCUCCGUCUGGUGUACCCCCCCCGCGAGCCCCAUCCUCCCCCUCCCUCCGCUCAUACCUCUCUUCGUCCGCUGCUCAUCCGAUCUUCCUCAGCUGACUUCUCAACGAGGAGAUGCAGCGACGGAAGGGGAGGCGCCGAGGAAGAGGAAACCGGAGCUGGACAGCUCCCGGAUCGCGGUCUGCCUCGUCGGCGGGGCCAGGCGGUUCGAGCUCACCGGGCCGUCCAUCGUGAAGAACAUCCUGGAGGAGUAUCCCAACGCCGACCUGUUCCUCCAUAGUCCGCUCGACAGGAACGCCUUCAAGUUCUCCAUUCUCAAGGAAUCCCCGCGGGUCGCCGCCGUCCGCAUCUUCGUCCCCGAGCACAUCAACGAGACCGAGCAACAGGCCAGGGUCCUCACGUCCAACGGCUCUCCCAAUGGGAUCCAGGUACGCGGCCCUCCCCUGUAGAUAGAGAGAGAGAGAGAGAGAGAGCAGCUUGCUGGUUAAGCUCAUCUGAUUGCUUUCGCAUGGCCGUGGAAUUUUGGCAGGGUCUUCUCCAGUAUUUCAGCCUCGUGGAGGGGUGCCUAGGGAUGAUCAGGGCUCACCAGACCCACAGCAACUUCACCUACGACUGGAUCGUCCGCACCCGCGUGGACGGCUACUGGUCGGCGCCGCUUGAUCCUGCUGUCUUCGUCCCCGGGGCUUACCUCGUCCCACCGGGCUCCCAGUACGGCGGCCUCAACGACCGGUUCGGCGCUGGCGACCAGCGCACCUCCCCGGCGGCUCUCUCCCGACUCUCCCUCAUCCCCCGCCUUGACGCCGCCGGCCGCCGCGGCCUCAACUCGGAGUCCGCCUUCAAGGCCCAGCUGGAAGAGUCCCAUGUCCGGUACGGGGAGCAUCCUCUUCCCUUCUGCGUGCUAAGCGACCGCCGGUACGGAUUCCCGCCGGUAGGGAAUGGCGUGCCGGUGGCGUCUAUGGGGAGCCGCGGGCCGCUCAGUGGCGCCAAGUGCCGCCCCUGCAGGCCGGCCUGCGUGGGUCUGUGCAUGGAAAGGGUGGGGAAGGCCUUGACCAGGGAGUGGAGCUGGACGGAGUGGAGAAACGGGAGCCUGGAGCUGUGCGAUGCCAGAGAGGGGUGGGAGGAUGGCUGGGAGAGCAUAUUCGACCGCGCCGCCGGGAGGGAGGCGGCAACGGCGAGGAGGCGGAUAGCUUCUCUCGACAUGGCCACCUGCGUCGAGGACCUUGAGGAGUUGAAGCGGAAGUCGGCCAGCUGGGACGCGCCGCCGCCAGCCGAGAUCUGUCAGAAAAAGUCAUCUUGACACGUUGAACUGUCCAAUUUUGGUCAAAAUUUUACACGAGGUUUCUUGAGCUGCAGUGGAGACGGACCUAACAACAUCAUAGACAAGACUUAGACGACUGUUUCCCAAUCUUGACUUCGAACGUUUUAUAAACAAGCGGUCAAUCGGAAGAUGAGAGACGUUCCUCCAGUCUGUGGCCUCGUGCAUGGUCUGUCCAAGACGAAAUCAACCUUCGCAGCUUCUGGGAAGCUGGGCCAAGUCGGACGAGCAUGAACGGCGAUGGUCAACGCCUUCUCACUCAGACCAGUGGCGAUAGAAGAGAUUUCGCAUCUCUCUCUAACGACAGUUCUAACUGGGGAGUGAUGUUCACCAAGCUUAGGUUGAAUCUCGGUGCCGGCAUCUUGGCCGUGACUGAGGUUCGUAGUCGUCACUGGGGACGUGAACGCACACUGCAUGCAAUAACGGCCCCAGUCAUCAGAUCAGAGUUUCUCUCUGAGUAACUGUGUGUGUGUGUGUGUGUGUGUGUGUGUGUGUGUGUGUGAGAGAGAGAGAGAGAGAGAGAGAANNNNNNNNNNNNNNNNNNNNNNNNNNNNNNNNNNNNNNNNNNNNNNNNNNNNNNNNNNNNNNNNNNNNNNNNNNNNNNNNNNNNNNNNNNNNNNNNNNNNCACACACACACACACACACACACACACACACACACACACACACACACACACACACACACACACACACACACACACACACACACACACACACACACACACACACACACACACACACACACACACACACAUCUGUAGUCUCACUUCGGGAUCUCAUGCAGAGAGCCAAGACCUACACUUUAUUGACAGGCUGUCGGUGGGUGGGAGGAAGAGGCGAAACAUGCGGCUCUCUCUCUCUCUCUCUCUCUCUCUCUGUGGUUUCGUUCCGUCGAGAGGAAGGAUGCGGAGAUGACGUUACGGUCUGUUGUGAGCCUUCUGGGUUGGCGGAGGGGGAGCGGCCGCCACCUGCGUCUCCGCCGCUGCCGUCUUUGGCGACCCGCUCCGGUACCUGUAGGCCCGUGCCAAGAUCAAGAACAGCCCAAGGUUGACUGCCCCGCCGACCGCCAGGGUCCAGUAGACCCUGUCGAGCCUGGAUGCGUUAAUGUUGUCCGGAAGCCAGUCCGUCGCCCGCCGCACCAGGUCAACCAGGGCGGUACUGAGGUAGAACCCCAGGGCGAUGAUCAGUGCCAUCAUCCCCGUGGCGGUGCCCCGCAAAGCCGGAGGAAACUCCUGGUAGUAGAGCGCCACCUGCCCGGGGAAGUGGAGGGCCUCCGCCACUCCGACGAGUACCAGCGGCGGCAGCAGCCAGAGGACGGACACCGGAACGGUGGCGCCGCCAGGGUUGUCGGCGAGGCGGUGGCUUCUCACGGCGCUCAUCCGCAUCCUCUCCACCAGGGCCGACGCCGCCAUGGCGGCGAUGUUGAUGGCGUGGCCGAGCCCGACGCGGCGGAGCAGCGAUUCCUCGCGGCCGGUCAACCAGCGCCAUGCGGGGAAGAUGAAGCGGUCCAGAAGACACAGAGUGACCGCGGAGGCGGCGAAGGAAGCGACGAUGAGGGAGCCGGCGGGGACGGAGAAGUGGGGGCCGAGGCGGCGGUCGACGGUCAACGCCUGGAGGAUGGUAAGGGUGGCCUGGAUGCCGAUAGAGACGCUGAGGAAGAUGCCGGUGGACCAGAGCGGGAGGAUCCUCACGAUGGCCUUCAGGUCCUCCACCUCCUGCACCGUGCACAGCCGCCAUGGCUUCGCCAGAGAGCCGUCCUCGUUGGUGUCCCCUCUCGUCAGUACCGCCGCCUUGUUUAGCCACCUGUCGUCAAGUCAAAGCCCACAAAUAAAAAAGUACACUUUCAUCUCUUUCCGACCCAUCGAUCUAAAAAGUCAAAACCUUUUUGACCUUGUAAUUCAAUGAUAUUUAAUGGUUAAGUACCUCAAGCUCGGCGAUGGAGGCUGAUGAGAUUGGGGCGCCGGCCUGUCUUGCCCGUAGAAGAGUUCCUCGCCCUCCGGCGAGGUCGGCAGCCUCCACUUCCUCACGGCGGCGACCGCCACGCGGGCCAAGCCGGUGAAGGGGCUCCCCGCCGGCUUGGGCCGCCGGUAAUGGCGCACGCCGAGGAGCAAGACGGCCGUGGCGGCGGCGCUGGCGGCGGCGCAGAUGCCGAAGCCCCAGCCCCAGCUGACGCUAUCCUGCACGUAGACGAUCACGGUGGCUCCCAACACGAAGGAGACAUACUGCGCUACGAAGUACCAGUUGAAGAACACGUUCUGAUCGGUGGUGCUGUCGAACUGGUCGGCCCCCAUGGUGGCGGUGGUGAACCUCGUGCCGCCGGAGACCACGCAGAUCAGGGCCACCGCCGCGUAGAGCGCGGCGAGCUGGGCGGGGUUGGCGGCCCGACAGGCGUCGGACCCCGUGGCGCACGGCGCCGGCCGCAGUGAGCUUAUGGUGGAGGUCAACGUGAAGAGAGUCGUGCCCUGAAAGCAGAGAUAAUGCAUUAGGAGUUUCUGAAGCCAACCAAUCUCUUCAGUCCGUGAUCAACUUUGAAGGAGUCCAUGAGAAGGAAGGGAGGAAGAAAAUGGGUUACCAGCAUGGAGACGGCGGUGGAGACGGCGAGGAUGGGGAAGCAGCCGAAGAAGGAGUCGGAGAUAACAGCCCCGAGGACGGGGGCGAGACUNNNNNNNNNNNNNNNNNNNNNNNNNNNNNNNNNNNNNNNNNNNNNNNNNNNNNNNNNNNNNNNNNNNNNNNNNNNNNNNNNNNNNNNNNNNNNNNNNNNNGCUUUUUUCUUGGGGUAAAAAAGUUGAAAAUGGGGAGAAUUCGGAGAAUUCGGGUAAUUACCCAUUUCCAUCGAGGUAUCCAGAAGACCCCCUACAAAAGGCCACAGUUCCUUCCCUCGCGCAUCAGCGCGCGUAGCUACUGAUCCGGCCACUGGAUCAUCGUAUCUUCAUUCAUGCGUAAAUCGAUAUCUAAAAGCAUCUACGCCCUGAGGCAGAUAAGCCCUAAAAGUUUGAUCCUUCGUAUCAGCAGUGAUUAAAGCGCAGAAGGCGUUUUCUGAUCAUUGGUAUGAAGAUAUGAUCAUCUCCCUUGUAUGAAACCGGUGUCAAUUCCGCAACAAUCAGUAACAUAGCGAAGGCCGAUCGAAACAUCAGGUUUCCGGAUGCUUUUGGAAUUGACUGGGCCCUCUACUGUUCUGCAGACGACAAUCCAUUGCAUUCAUUCUUAGUCAAAUGCUGAAGGCCAAAAUUCGACAGUUGGUCCACCCGAGUACUCCCUCCAGUCGGAAAAUGUACUCUGUCUAAUCAUUAUCCCGGCAUCGAUCCCUUUCGCCGUCCGUCUAAUCAUCGUCCUCCGUACGACGUUUGGUCGGCGCUUCUCGCGAACGCUACCGCCAUAUCUUGGAUCUCCGACAGUCCCGGGUGAGUCACCGACCCCCCAUCUCACCUUGUUGGGCCGUUGGGAUCAUUCAGAGAUCAAUGCUUGAAGCCCAGCCCGCUCCACCCCCGAGGUUUCUAAUACUUUAGGGUUGACGGACUAAAAGUUUCAGCAGACGAGAGGCCGUCAGGGCUCCGGUUCCAUGGGGUGGGAGGCCCGUCGGUGAUGGAGAACGGGGACGAGUGGCUCGCACUUGACAAGAUCCAGCACUUCGUCGCGUGUCUCCUCAUCACCGCCUGCGUGUCGGGCGUCUUGAGCCGGUCCCGGUAUCGCUUCCUGAGACGAUGGUCAACGCCGCUGGGCUGCGUUUCGGCCCUCGUCGCGGGGAUCGCCAAGGAGGCCGGGGACGAGCUCGGGUUCUGGGAAUCCGCCGGAGCCUCGCUCAAGGACGGCGUCGCGGACGUCCUCGGGAUAUUCGUCGCGGCGGUCUUCCUUUCCUUCUCGAGGAAGCCCUCUCCGUCGCCGGCGGAGAAGGUGGAUCGCGAUCGAGACCGAUCAAUGGUCUGAUUCGCCGUUCAUCGUCGGACUGGACUUUCUCCUACCAAUUUUGACCGCCGUGGCGAAUAUGAUCGAUCAACCCUGGAGAGGGGCGUUUGACUUGUGGUCGAUCUGGGUCUCCGAAAGACAUUCUCUCCCUGCCCGAAGAUUCUCUCUCUCUCUCUUCCUGUCUCUUACACACACAAAGACUCUUUCUCUCUCCCUCCCUCUCUCUUACACGCACAAAGACUCUCUCUCUCUCUCCCUCCCUCUCUCUUACACACAGACUCUCUCUCUCUCUCUCUCACUCACACACACACAAUCACUCAAACGCACACACUCACACAGACAAUUAGAAGUCGUGGACGAGCUUCCGGAACCUGGUCAUGUGGUCGGACUGGAGGGAGAUGGCGAGUGUGAGGCAGCCAUCCCCCGUGGCGCUCGGGAUCAAGUAGGCCAGCCCUUCGAAGAAGAUGCCACCGGGGCCCAUGAACACCGGCCUGCCCCAACCGAAGUCCGCGUCGUGGAUCGGCAGGCGCACCCAGCUGGCGACUGAGAGGUUGGGGCACCGGAAAGUUCGGGCGCCGCGCAUCAGCUUGGACAGGUCCGGCUGGAGCUCCAGGUAGUCCAGCGCCGAACGGAGGUAGUCGUCGUCCAUCCGCAUCAGCGCCUCGCGGAUCCUCCCCGCGACGCUUGUCACUGGGCCCUGCAGGAGCUCUCCCGCCGUCGCCAUUGGAGUCGUCGUGAAGAUGGCGUUCCCAAAGUAUCCCGGCGGGAGGCUGGGUUUCAGGCGGGGGCGGCAGUUCAUGGCAAUGUACAGCAUGGUCUGCUGAUCGGCCUCCAGGCCCCGCGCCUUGCAGACUCUCCGCCAUAUGUGCGCUGACAGGAGCUCGUACGAGCUGUACNNNNNNNNNNNNNNNNNNNNNNNNNNNNNNNNNNNNNNNNNNNNNNNNNNNNNNNNNNNNNNNNNNNNNNNNNNNNNNNNNNNNNNNNNNNNNNNNNNNNAUAUAUAUAUAUAUAUAUAUAUAUAUAUAUAUAUAUAUAUAUAUCUAUCAUCUAUUAAUAGGGCUUCUCUAGAAACCCACCUUCACCACCACUACCUCUCUAAAGACAAAUAAUGUUGUUGCCAACCUCGCUGCCAUUGCCUCUUUCUCCUCCUACUCUUAGAGACAAACAAUGUUACUGCUAACCUCACCGCUGUUGCCUCUCUCUCCCACUCUCUCCAUCUCUCACUCUCUCUUGUAUCAGCAAGCUUUGUUUGAUUUCUCAUUUAGUUUUUCUUGCAAUGUGUCCAUGUUUUGUUAGUGGUGAUUGUUAAUAUAUAUACACAUGUUUUGAACCUAUAUAACUUAGGCCCACUAUUAUAUUAUCAUUACUUUAAAUGAAUAUUUAUGUAAUGUAUAAGUUAGAUAAAAAGUUCAAUGUAAUAAUUUUUUUUAUUGUAUCGUAGUAAGUUUAAAUUAAUAAAGAUAAAUUUUUUGGCUCAUAUAUUUAUAUUACUAUCUUAUGAAAUAUAAUUUAUGUGUAUCGUAAUAAACUUGUUAGGCCUAAUAUUGAAAUAUAUGUUAAACAUAUGUAUCUAUAGUAGGAUAUAUAUUAUUCAUAUAUUACAUACAUAUUCUGUAUAUUUAUAUCAAGAACUUUGACCUAACAUAUAGAUUUAUAUCAUGUGAUGUCUGUAUAAUAAUAUAUAUAUUUAUAUGUAAUAUAGAUAUCUAUUUGAUAUACAUAUUAUAUUUUUUUCAUUUAACAUAGGCCUAAUAUGUAUAAAUGUAUAUUAUGACUAAGUAUAUAUAGUAGUAUAUAUUUGUAUAUAUUUCCUAUAUUUUAUAUAUAAUACUUAUAAUUAUAUUUAUUUAAUACAUAUAUUUGUAUAUAUAAUACUUCAAUAUAAUAUAAUAUAAUAUAAUAAAUCGACGAUCACUCAAUCAUGAUCGAUCGACGAACAGCAAUUUUGGCUGAUCAGAUCGACGAUCGAUCAUGAUCGCAAGAGUCUUGCUGCUGCAGCAGAGUGUCAAAAUGCUAUUUGCCUGUCUCUUAUUAAUUCAAAAUCUAGGGGUUCAGAAUGCUAUUUUCCGAUAAAACAAGGGCUUUUUUGCAAGAUGUAAAUAGCGCUUAUCGCUUCAGCUCGCGUCGCUGCCUGUAGCAAUCACAAAGGGGGACGAAGCCCUGUUCAUUAAAGCCUGCGUGUGCGAUCCAAAGAGGAAAACCACAGGCCCACGCGUUGACUUUGAGGCCGCUAUAACCAGUCAAACGGUUGACUGGAGAGCCGAUCAGGCCGCCCAGGCCGCCCACUAAACAUCCAGUUGAGAGAAUUACUGUACAAGCGGUUAGUCAACCUUCUGCCAAUGUACUUACAGGGAUAUUUACACUGCUAGCUAGCGACGUACUGGGAAGAAUGCACAUGAAGUCUGUGGGGCCAUCGUCGGUCUUGAAGUCGAGCUCAGCCCCAGCCCAUUAGCAUGUUGAGGACCCCCUCCUGGAUCAUAUUCAGAGUGGCGGGAUUCCUGUGGCCGUCGUCGAGGAGGACCCUGUAGACCUCCCACUCCCUAUCUCCGAUCAUGUGCCUUCCGAUCUCCGCCUGAGAAACGCGGUAGCUGGGUUUAAGUUGGGCUUCUCCGAGAUAAUGGAAAAAAAUGAGUAGAAGGAUUUUUUUUAUUUUUUAUUUUUACCGAGAAGAUGCAGGCGUUGAGCAGUUUAAGAGCGAGGGUGAUGUCGUAGAAGACGAGGGGUCGGCCCCUCCCCGAGAGCUCAACUGGGUUGGCGACUAGAAUCUCUGUCUCGGGUCCACGACUGAGAACGGCGACCCGGAGGGGGCGGAAGAGCUCCAUCCUCAAGCGGGAGCAUAAGGCCUUCUGCUUGUUUGGGUCGAGGAUCUUCUUCCCAUCCGCUUGCAUCACGAAGAGGUCAAAUUCGCAGCUUUUGCACUGGUUCGCGUAAAAUCGUCCAUAUGAUAUCUGCCAGGAAAAAAAACCCAUGCAUGUCACAUUGUCAAGAGAGAGAGAGAGAGAGAGAGAGAGAGAGAGAGAGAGAGAGAGACNNNNNNNNNNNNNNNNNNNNNNNNNNNNNNNNNNNNNNNNNNNNNNNNNNNNNNNNNNNNNNNNNNNNNNNNNNNNNNNNNNNNNNNNNNNNNNNNNNNNGAGAGAGAGAGAGUGCGGCAGUUUCGGCUUAACAAGGUAGGUAAAGGCACUUGAGAGAGAGAGAGAUCAAGUGGACCUGAGAAGGGAAUAUCGAUUGUAUUGAAGAGAUUCGUUAGACGUCCGACAGCCAUAGUCCGCUCUAUGUUGUCCGGCCCGGCCCGACCGUCCUUACCCGGUCCUAGGGAUCAGCGGUCACGACCGGUGACCGGUGCGGUCAGGGUCGUCGGACUGGUGACCGGUCGUGACCGGAGUCUCUCUCCUCUCUCUGUGAGAGAGAGUGAGGGGCUCGGGCCGGGCCUCUCCCUCUCUCCCGCUCCUCUCCGCCUCGCGCUCGUCCAGGUUAUGCUCGCCCUCUCUCUCUCUCUCUCUCUCUCUUCGCCCUCUCCCGCUCAUUUCCCCCCCUCAUCCUCCCUCUCUCAUUGGCCUUUUCCCUAUUCUCCCACUCAUUUAAAUGUUAAAAUUUUAGUGAUUAUUUUAGAUAGUUUAAAUUAUUUAUGUUUCACAUAGUUAUAUAAAUGCAUGACCCACAUCUUUUUUUCAUUUGAUUUCAUCACGAUGAACAUUCAAGAUGACAUCUAAUUACAAAUAUCUCAUUUACUUAUUUAUAUAAUAUAUAUUCUACUUUAUUUAUAUCAUUUAUAAUUAAUGAAUUAUAAAUUUUAAAAAUUAGUAAGUACUAUCAUUUUGUUAUUUUUAGAUAACUUUAAUUAACCAAAUAAUAUAUAAAUAGCUUUAAUUUUAAAAGUAAUAUAAUAAUUUAUAAGUCAUAGGUCAGAGCCCUUGAUUGAACCAUGAUCAUGACUAGUCUUUGACUGUGAUGAUUGAUCCCUACAACAUACACACACAAUCUCUCUCUUUCUUAUAACAAUGCCAAAAAGUCCACGGCUGGAGAUGGAGCGGCAUAAAUCAAGUACUAAAAAUACUACCUUUUACAGCAAAAUCAUGUAAAUAGUGAUCAGAAUACCAAAAUAAUACAGAUUCUUCGGCAUGUCAGAAGAUCACAACGAAUUAAUUCCCUGAAGAAACCGCUCGGAAUCCCAUCGCUCAUGAAUCUGAAAGAAUCACAUGUAACACAUAAAUAAAUAAAUAAAUAAAUAUUGUUACUGUGGUAAAAAAGUCAAAGCAUUGGGGCUAAUAAUGGGAAAAGAAUUGGCACACCAUCAUUGUCGUUGUCGUCCUCCGGCCGCAGGGUGGGAACGUCGUCUGCAGGAGUGUGUUGACUCAAGAACAGCUGGAUCACCACCCAGUAUCUGUCGCCACCAGAGAGCCAAGUGUCCAUGUGCCUGCCGGCCGGAAAGUCAACGAAUGUGCACCGGCGACCCCUUCUGGUAGCCUCGGCGUGGAGCAUUUGCAUGUGGGAAGGAGGAACCAGCUCAUCUUGCAGCCCGGAGAUGAAUAGAAUCGGCGGCUCAAUCUGCAGCCCGGGUUUUGGAGCAAAAAUUUCUAAUCAAACAAGGUUCCAAGAUGGAUCAUUGGGGUACAUCCAAGUUCAGCUAAAGUCAACCCUGUUCUUCUAAGCAAUCCAGCAUUCUCCUGCCCGAGGGAAUUGUCAUGCACAGUGAAAUGGAGGAGUAUACGAUUUGACCAAUUGAAUCAUGGUAGAAGAUGUUUUAUUGCAAUUAAAACGUCUAUAAUUUAACCAGUUUUACCGACCAGAUGUAUGAUAGUCAACGCCCCAAUGCAGAAAGAUGAGCAUGCAUCUUACUUGUCCGAUGAUGUCAAUGGUUCUCCAGGGCGACCUCACAAAAUAAUUCAGAACUCUAAGCCCCUUUGAUCCGGAGCCUCCAAUGAACCACUUCAGGAAAGGCAGCACGACUGCAGCCAUGUCUGGAACAGAGGUGAAUGUGUUCUCCAGUAUCAGUGCCGAAACCUACAAGUGGGGCCAUUAUUCAACAUACUUUUAAGGCGUUUGGCUGCAUCAAGCGAGAGAGAGAGAGAGAGAGAGAGAGAGAGAGAGAGAGAGAGAGAGAGAGAGAGAGAGAGAGAGAGAGAGAGAGAGAGAGAGAGAGAGAGAGAGAGAGAGAGAGAGAGAGANNNNNNNNNNNNNNNNNNNNNNNNNNNNNNNNNNNNNNNNNNNNNNNNNNNNNNNNNNNNNNNNNNNNNNNNNNNNNNNNNNNNNNNNNNNNNNNNNNNNAGAGAGAGAGAGAGAGAGAGAGAGAGAGAGUGAAGUGGUUUUGGGAGGGAAUCCGCAGAAUUACGAUAGUUUUUCGCAUACCCCUUUGGGAUCCACUCUCCUCCGUCAAUCUAAGACACUUGUCGUCCAUGUCUACUUAACUUACUCGAUUAAUCCCGCGUUCUUCGUGGUCAGAACCUGUCGAAUCUCGUUCCCCAGGAACAAUGAAGCCAAUAAUUUCUCUCUCGCAACCUGAACAAGCCAUUAUAAGACCUCCAUUAUUAAAGCCGGUUAUUACGACGAGACUGUGGACGUCUAAAGUGGUGGCUUGCCGAAACACAAACAGUGUUAAGAAGGGAAAGGAGCAAGAAGGUUUCAUAGUCCACUUUCACCUUAUCAUUUACUUGAAUCCAUGAAAUAGAAUGGAAAAAAUUAUCUAAAAGGAUCUAAUGUCUGCAACAAUUUCUUUUCAUUCGUUUAUCGUGUCGGUUACUAUUUGCAGCUACGCUUACACAAUACCAAGCCAACCAAGUUAAGAAUAUCAGACUUGAAUACGAAGAACUUCCGAGGACGUUAUUAUUCUCACUAUGUGUCGAACCAAGCCAGUGUACACUGAAUACUGAAAAAAACACAUCAACGCCAAAGGAGCAGCCCUCCUCUCCAGCGACUAUCGGAAAGGUUGUCAUACACUAAGUUACUCAUAGCUUUGAAAUCUGAAGGAUGUUCAGGGAUAGCGUCCAUGAUUAGAUCCAACGGUAAGUCCUCACGAAAGCUAAGAUGCAUGUGUUCGUCUCGUAAAUGUGAUUUGACCGCACGGUCUCAUAAAGGUCAUAUCAUUCAACUUUCGCUGGGUCUGCAACUUGUGCUUCAACAAUAUUCCCCAACUUCUCUGCUAUCGUCUAGCGUUCUGUAAACCAGCUCUUGUCAGCUAAUCUCUUUCAGCAUCAACGGUCGCACACAUUUGACCGUCGGUUGCUUGGAUUAGCAAGACCGCAUUUUAUAACAGCAUUGAUCUCAACUGUACAUCUUCGCGAAUCAUGUAGAAUCAAAUAGAGCAACAGCUCCUAGCAAGAAGGCUUCUUUCGCUAUCUACCGCCGACGGUAUUUUCUUCCAUCUAUUUAUUCGGGUACAGCUUGGACAUCAACUUCUGAUUCAGUGAGCAUCUAUCUCAACAAGACUAUACCUUCUUUCUCAUAAAGGGGAGUUGAUUAAGAAGGUCUAAACCAAAUUCACGGUUUGAAGGAAGCAAGUUCUAAUUAUAUCUCACUCCUUUGAGGAGAAUCAGACCGUGUGUGCGUGAUUGAGCGAGCAAGUGAGUGAGUGAGUGCGUUGGAGAUAGACACAGAGAGAGAGAGAGAGAGAGAGAUAAGGUAGGGUAAAAGAACAGGGAACAAGUGAAUAGGCAAGAAGGGACCAGAAGACCUGGGAUGGACAAGGCGAAAACAACAGCAGCAGAAUGGAAGACGGGGGUACUUCAUGUUCGCUCAUUGCUUGUCCUUGAAUUACUUCCAAGAGUUCCAAGUAACCAAAGGCUUGAAACACCCAUUGGCGUUAUGCAGCUAAAUAUAUGGAUAGAUGUACAGAAAUAGAUAAAAAGGCAUAUAUAUCCAUAUUAUAUUAAAUGAAAAGAGGGGAGAAUAGAGUCUAAACUGGCAUUGAUAUAUCAGCACACGUCCGUAGAAGGAUUAAAGAUGGUUGAGGGAGGAAAGGCGGGUGAGGAGCGCAUGAGUGAGAGAGAGAGCUCUAAUCGACCCCUUUAGGGAGGACAGAAUAACAGGAGUUUGGGGAGGGCCCCUUCUCUAUAAUCGAGGAUGGCAUCUAAAGAUUGACGGUGCUAGCGUGAUUGACGCAGAAAGGGAAGAUAGCUACCACUAGGAACCUGAGGGGUCUGAUAGGAGCGUUGUUGUUCCGGGCAGUGGGGGCAUGGUGAGUGUCACCUUCUCUAUGAUACUAAAACUAAAGUCCAGUGGAGAGAACCUAUGACGCGUCAAGAAGGAAAAGUUACAACCUCACUCGUCGAUCAACCACAGCUUCUCUCUCUCUCUCUCUCUCUNNNNNNNNNNNNNNNNNNNNNNNNNNNNNNNNNNNNNNNNNNNNNNNNNNNNNNNNNNNNNNNNNNNNNNNNNNNNNNNNNNNNNNNNNNNNNNNNNNNNCUCUCUCUCUCUCUCUCUCUCUCUCUCUCUCUCUCUCUCUCUCUCUCUCUCUCUCUCUCUCUCUCUCUCUCUCUCUCUCUCUCUCUCUCUCUCUCUCUCUCUCUCUCUCUCUCUCUCUCUCUCUCUCUCUCUAAGUCCUUUAUGUGAUAACCGGUCCGCGAAGGAACCAAUUUCAUAGAGGGCGUUGGGUCUCAGUUACACUUUGAUGGAGGGAAUGGGCCUUAGUGACAUUUUGGGCAUCGUUGUUGGAUAAGGACUUGUAGAUUCUAUGAACUCUCCUAUACCCGCCCACUCCAUCUUUAUCGCUACCCUCGUCCCUUCUUAUGAGAAAUCAUGAAGUAUUUCAAAUUUUGAGUCCCUACUUAUUCCAAUUUCCUGUAUGCAGUUGUUCUCUUUCAGCACUAUGUUCCUCUGAAAGAUGAAACGUAGGUCAAGCAGGAGAGGACUGUCUGGUGAGGAGAAAUUUCCGUUCUUCUUUACAACCUAUGUAGCCCCAAGUUCUUGGAUUUUCGCCCAUAAAGUAAAAAGCGAUCCCUACUUGCUCCCUCUCGAAUCAGCUCACUUGGAAGGUCUUUCCGGGGUCCCUUCCAUCUGUCCUCCCACAUGUUCUCUCUGUUCUCGCUCCCUCUCUCCCUCUCUCCCUCCAACUAUUAUCUCUCUCUCUCGUGUCCUCUUCUGUUGGGUGAGUAAUACAUCCCUUAUAGUCUCUGUUUCCGACCCAUCCUCCCCACCUCUCUCAACACCAGCUCCAGGGCUCCAUCAGGAGCUCACUGUGUCCUGCCAUACCACGCAACAACUCUGAUGACAGGGCCCAAGAAUACGGCCUGUUCAUUGGAAAAGCUCGUUUCCUCUGAAUCUGAGCAAAUGCUCCCAACCAUCCCCCUGCCCCGGGUUUGAACGCGGUUCUAAUUUCCUGCAUGUCGCUCUAUAUUUCACUAUGCAUGGCUGUUUCUUGAUAGUAAUUUUAGCCAAAUUAUCCCUGAUUUAGAUACUGUUAGGCUGUCGAUGAGAUGUGUUAUCUCUCUUCUUCAUGUAUGUAAUGAGAUCGUCGUUCCACUUAAAGACUAGUCUGCCUUGCCGCGUGGCGACUCUUUGAUUCUGCUCCUCCCUCCUGACCUCAUUCUUGCCACCUCCCCAAGAGAAGAGGAGUGUGUUGAGAAUAUAAGAAGUAGAGAUACACCUUUCGCAGAGAAUGGACAGAAGAGGAGAAGAAAACAGUCACACACUGACUCGAAGAUAUGAGAUAGUUUUACAAGUGGUUAUAGAAGCCAUUUAUAGAGAAAAACGGUAGUUAUUUCUAAUACGAAAAGACGCGCGAAACCGCCGAAACGAUUCUUGCGUCAGGGCAGCCCCACACCCCGCGAGGGGGCAGCUCCCCUCUUGACCCCCCGCCAACUAACCACGUAGUUGGAUCCGCGACGCGUCCGUUGAGGAUGCUUUGAAUCAGGCCCCAUAACCAACAGAGCGUUAGAACCUCAGGGCCGCUGCCGCUGCUGUUUCCUUGUGACCAGAUUCGGAGCCCUGCGGCUGUGAGAGUUUCUGUCCUCAUAUGAGAGAGAAGACGGGAAGGGCUGUGAAGAGCUACAACCGGCCCCACACACCCUCAGUCGUACCUGUUGUGAAGGGCUGCCCCUUAAAACUCAUAGAAGAGGUCGGUGUAAGGACUGCUCCGAACGCGCCGGCAGGUAACUCCGUGCAGGUAACCAUGGAGAAGGCGAAUCAAGCUGUUGAAGUUCUUGAGAUUGAUCUCUUAUUGAGCCUUAUUGGGUUCUAAUGAGCUUUUUGGUGAAUACGCAGCCCUAAUCUUGUGUUAUAGAGGAAGGAGUGCCAUCAUAUCUGAGAGGUAGGGCGUGCGAAGAUGUGCUGCGACCAGAGAACUGUAAGAGAAGAUUAUCCUGAAGGAAGCUUUAUCUGUGUGUACCAGUGGACGUAGAAGUUUUUGCAAAGAAUAUAAAUCCAGGAUAUUCUCUGUUCUUGCCUUGUCCUCUCUCUCUCUCUCUCUCUCUCUCUCUCUCUCUCUCUCUCUCUACUCNNNNNNNNNNNNNNNNNNNNNNNNNNNNNNNNNNNNNNNNNNNNNNNNNNNNNNNNNNNNNNNNNNNNNNNNNNNNNNNNNNNNNNNNNNNNNNNNNNNNGAGAGAGAGAGAGAGGCGAACGCUCUAAUCUGGGGCUUCUGCCGGAGGUAACUCGCCGUCCAUCCUCGUUCGGUUAUCCUCUUCCCGUGUGUUGGGUUCUGGGGAAGUCGGAUGGGGAUCGAUCCAACUUCCAGCGGUCGUCAGGACUAGGAGGCUUCUCGUCAGAGCGGAAAUCGGUGUGCUCAGAUUCCGGGUACCGAUUGCUGCUGUCUAUUUUGGAGAGUUUGUUAUUGGGAAUGGGACGAUUCGGCGGGGAAAGCUAGGAAUCUGAGGGUUGGCGGGGGAAUUAACCCCUACGCCGGAUGGAUCUUUAGCUGAGAACAUUCGAUCAGUGUUGUGAAUUUCGAUCGGCAGCGCACAUGGACUGCUGUACCGGGGAUAGCCAGGGCCUUAUAGGCGUGGCUGGCGAUUUCUUUGAGGUCAAGCAGGAUUGCCGAGACGACGUCCCCAAGACCCGGUUUAAGCCGAAGGUUGGCUACCUAGAUUUUUCUCUCAUAUUUACAUUUCCCCGUUGAAAUGUUGGCAAUCGUGGUGGCAUUGCAUGUGUAGAGUCUCUCGAGGCUGAUACUUUGAGACUUUGUAUGUUGUAAUCUUUGGCAAGAUCAUCCCUACUUCAUGUUUUUGGUUGAUUGUGCAAGAGGAUCAUUGUGAUGUUUGGUACCAUAUAAAUUUCCUUCUUGAUGUAUCGAUUGCUGCGCAGAACGAGGUUCGAAAAGAAUAUAAAACUAACCUGGUUUCUCUACGAUCCAAAAUAUUGUUGAUGCAUAUGCAGAAAUACGUGGAAGAGUUCUGGCAUUGUUGCUUUAUUGAUCAUUGCAUUUACCACGGAACACUUUGAUGUCCUUGUAGGAGUGCCAGCUAUCCGGUGAAACGAAGAAUGGGUGAAACUUGAACUGAUCAUUCCCACUUCCUCCGGGAUCAAUGAGACCGUUCAUCCAGAGGAUGGACAUCAUGUCUUUGAUAAUUUAUCUCAUAUUUCUGUGCAAUUGAUUGCAUAAAAUGACGGAUUUGUCUAAAAUCUGAUAUACAUACCAAAAGGAAGUGAAAUAAUUGUAAUCUAAGUUUUUUACUAGUAGCUAUGACACGGAGCAGCCAUGGUGUGGGGUUUCAAUACGGCUUUUCUUAUUUUCUUAGCAAUUUUUACGUGUUAUCUUUAUUUACAAGCCAAUUUAUGGGUCCCCUUCGGUCACUCGAAGAUUCCCAUUACAUGUCUUUCCUAGCGUGGACUCUGUCUUGCAUCUAAUGAGAUAUUAAUUACGAAAAAUUGUGAUUGUAUUAUUUUAAAAUUUCCUUGUUUCCUAAGUUUGAUGAUUUUCCUAAAUGAGAAGUUGGCAUGAGUUGCCGUAGAAGUGAGGUUCGAUUAUCCUAGCCUGAAAUUACAGGCUAAGAAUGCUCCUUGUCAUGCCCCUUUUUCGUUCUGCACUAUUUCCUAUGUAGUUAAAAGGUUUGAUGUAGGUAAAUGGGUAUCUGAUAUAUUGUCUACCUACUUCUCAUCGAGUUUUAAUAAUUUGAAAAAAACAUCUAUCAUUAAUAAGAUAUGGUAUCAAAGCGGCUAUAUUUAUUUUUAAUUUAUCUUCCAUCGUUUUGAGUUGUAUUUGUAGUAUUCCAUAUCUUCAGUGUUUUAUCCUGGUUUUUAUUGCCAAAUUUGAAAUCAUUGCAAAACCUGUGACCGAAGCUCUAACAACAGAUCAUUAGGCUGUUGAACAUUGUAGAUGAGUGUGUGUUUGUGGUUUUGGGUUUUACAUGACAAAGUGUAACCAAGCUGGCUGGCUGACUCAGUCCAAAAACUAGACAUCUUUUAUACAACAUUCGUCUGAGUUUCAUUUAAUUGCUAGGUUGUGUAACCUUCCCAUUUGGCUUUGGAAUUUCUUGUGAUUGCCGACGACAUUAACUUUAUAUAAGUUUCGGAAGUUUAUACUUGUUUCUUCUCUCAUAAUUUUAACUAGAUGAGUUGGACGAAUGUGCUCAGGUUUUAAAGGUAUUAAAUAUUGAGAUCAGUUAGUUGUCCUCAACAUUCUUGUGUUUGCAUUNNNNNNNNNNNNNNNNNNNNNNNNNNNNNNNNNNNNNNNNNNNNNNNNNNNNNNNNNNNNNNNNNNNNNNNNNNNNNNNNNNNNNNNNNNNNNNNNNNNNUCUCUCUCUCUCUCUCUCUCUCUCUCUCUUCCUGUCGUUUGCAUUAAGUGGAUGUUUUUAAAUCUAAAUUGACGUUUUUAGGAAUAAAUAAAUAAAUAAAUAAAUAAAUAAAUAUCUAUUUACUAAAAAGUGCGGCUUUAUCCGUACGGAUUUACGAUUUUAAUAAACAAUUUUUCUUCGUUACAAAUAUUAAAGAAAACCUACGGAGGGAGUACGACAGAGAAAGAAGAGUUCGGAGAAAGGGGUCAAGGUGGGUUUGACCGGGGGGGGCUCGUUAUCGCCUCUUCGGCGUCCGAUUAGGAUUUCCCCACCUCGGAGGGCUCGUCAUCGCCUCUUCUGUGUCCACUGCCCGCCGCCGCCAUGGCGAAAAACAGCGACGACGAUCGCGUCGUCUUGGACGGGCAUGCUGACGGGAACGGCCGGGGAAUCGCAGCGCGCCGUUGCUGCACACGCCCGCCACUUGCUCGCCCUUUCCGUCCUCUUCCGCCCCUACGGCGUCUCCAUCCAUCGCCGUAUACGUCGUCAUCUUUGCUUUGCUCUUUAUCUUUUGGCGUCGUCCAUUCGUCUGCUGUCUUUGGUCGCUCUAUUCACUAAAGUGAUGACGUCUCUUGUGUACAAAGGUUGUAUUUUGAUUCCAAAAGAGUUCUUGAUAAUUUUUACUGUUUUGUAAAAAAUUCACACAAUGUAAUUAGAGGGCAUUCCAAACUCUUACAAAACAUAUAAAUGUAUCCAUCGGAAAAUCUACUAGAUUAGUAUGAAAACGGACAUUAAAUCUUGUGACACAAUAUUUUUAUAUGCCAAUAAAACAAGUCAGAAAAACUUUUCUCUGGCCGAUUUCUUAUAUCUAUUAUUGAUACCAUACUAAAUUUGGGAUGCACGUUCUAGACUGAAUAUGUAUACUCUUAUAUUAGUUGCGGUUGAUCAUCUAAGUAGAUUUGCUCAUUUUUCUUUGUUAAAACGCUUUUACAUGGCACAAGAUGUUGUCGCUAUAUUAACGAGGUAGUGGUUAAAUUAUGUGGCUUCUCACUUUUCAUGCCUUUCAAUUGCAACCGUAUCUUUAUGAACCAAUUGUGGAUAGAAAUGUUCUACUUAUAAAGUACUAUCCUUUACUGAAGCACAACUUGUCCACAAACCGAUAGAUGAAUAGAAGUUCUUAACAAAUGUCUCAAAAUAUAUUUAAUUUUUUUUGUCAAUAACCGACCACAUAGUUGGAAUCAUAGGAUUCUAUGGGUGCAACAAUUAUACAAUACAACUCACUACUAUGGGAGCUGUAUAAGGUUAAGAUCUUUCACCCCUUCUUAGGUUGGAAACUCAGCAUACCCCGGUUGCCUUGAUAGAGUAAUAAGUAUAAGAUAAGGGUAAAAUCUUGGACCAAUUAAACUAUUACCUAUCUUAUCUACUAAAUUACAUGAAAACCCAACAUAAUAAGUAUCAGUGUGAGAUUCACUUCACCAUGUUGAACAUAGUCUAAAUGGAAUUACAACCUUAUUGUUUGUGAAUUUUGACUUGAAAAUUUAAUGAAAAGCUCCCCAUAUCUUAGAGCAUAUCAGACUAGUAACUUACAUAUUAGAUCUUCCAUCAUACACCUAUAAUCACUUUGUACUAAAUGUGUCUCAACUCCAAUUAGUACUAGGUGUUAGGCAUCAUGAAGUGAGUUCAUGUGCCUCACAAAAAAAGUCAGCCAUUCAAAAAAUUCUCCACACAAAAAACACGGCUAUCAAAUUUUAAUAAAAUUAAAAAGUCUUCCAAAAUUCAAAGUUGUUUGAGAAGUAACCCUAUUAUUUCAGCACUAAUUUCUAGAUUUCAACCUUGGGGACAAAGUUACACCCUUAGGUGCGGUCAACGUACCCUUGGAAAAAGUCGUCAAUCAAAUGACCACAUAAUCCAUGAUACUUUGCCAACACUCCAACAGUAUCAAUGAAAGAUAACCGUUAGGCUCCAUGAGGCUAUUCUAUUCAGUCAGAUCUCCAAAACGAGAAGGGUAGUUUGUGGAGUUCGGAACCGCUCAAAGAGUACUCUCUCUCUCUCUCNNNNNNNNNNNNNNNNNNNNNNNNNNNNNNNNNNNNNNNNNNNNNNNNNNNNNNNNNNNNNNNNNNNNNNNNNNNNNNNNNNNNNNNNNNNNNNNNNNNNGAGAGAGAGAGAGAGAGUUCAGAAGCUGUUCAGAAGAAAAAGAAGAAAAUAACGGCAGAGUAGGAGAUUGACCACCCACUCGAGCUCAACGUCAUCGUCCUCUCUGCCGGGCAGCUUGACCUCUCUGGUGGCCAGCUUCUUCGUCAGCGCUUGCUUCAGGCCGCUGAUGAUGUCAUCGAUGGGGCGGCUGCCGCCAUCGCCAACGUCCCUGCGUACGCAGAACCGCGCGCCGGCGGCGAAUACCGCCACCGAGAGCGCCAUCACCGCCGCGGGGACGGCGAACCCGAGCUCCCACCCGUAGGUGUCCUGCACGUACGACAUGAGCGAGUUGCCCAGCAAGCUGCCGCUGCAUAUGCCGAAGUACCACCACUGGAAGAAGAGGCUCUUCUCCUCCUGUUCCAACGGGCCCCCUUCCUUCUCCAGCUGGUCCGCGCCGAACGCCUGCAGAGACGGGUUGUACCCGCCCUGCCCGAUGGAGAUGAUGUACAGCGGCAAGAACAGCGAGGAGCUCGGCAUGUGGGAGUGGAGCACCGCCCACGCCGUCAGCGCUGCGAGACCCUGCAGCGGCAAGCGAAGCUCUAUUACGAAGAGAUACAAAGGAAAGAGAGGGAGCCUCUGCCCUCACAGACAGAUCGGAGGAGAUAGACGAAGAAGCAGAGUAGACAGAAGACAGAAGGACGAAGAAGAAGAAUAUUGCUGUGUAAAAACUGUCUUCUGCAAUGUCUGACUGAUCUCGAGUCAACCCUUUGCUAUUAUUAGAUUCUCGAUCGAGCUUGGAAAUCGGAGGGCAUAUCGUCUGAUGUGGCUGACAGACAUAACGUGGUUGACCGAUUAUUUGCUGAGGUGGACGAGGCAUUAUCUCGGCUCUGAUUGGCUGGUCUGAUAUCGUUCCUUUCUUCUUGCUUUGAACAGUUGGACCGGACCAGUUUAUCUGCCGGCUCAAGUUUUCCUCUCUCAGUUAGUCUCUUAAAAUGGUGACAAACCCUAAUUCGAUAAUACCCAAAAUACCCUUUUACAUUCUAAUAAGCUUCCUUGAGAGCGUCGUAAUGGAGGAGGGAGGAGGGAAGGGGGAGCUCUCACGGUGACGUAGAGGAAGGAGGAGCCGAGAAUGGUGGAGUGGCGGUCCCAGUAGGAGUCGGCGAGGAAGGCGCCGAGCAGCGGCAGCAUGGAGGUGACGCCGCACCAGUUGUUGACGGUCUUCGCCGCCGCCGACGUGCCCAGGUGGACGACGUCCGUCAGGUAGGUCACCAUGUUGGAGGCCACUCCCUUGUACGCGAACCUCUCCACGCUCGCCACCACUGCAACCAGUAUCACAGCGAGAUCAGAUCCCCUGGUCAUCCCCGUGAUGCCCGAGAAGUAAGGAAGAGAGAGAGAAAGACAGAAAGAAGAGAGAGAGAGAGAGAGAGAGAGCGAGAGAGAGAUCUGCCCACCGAUGAUGAGGAUGCAGGACCUGUUCAGUCUCGCUGCAUGCUUCUUCCCACCCUCCUCCGCGGCCAUGGCGACGAAGAGAGGAAAGAAAGAAAACUCAGUUAGCAAGGCUCUAAGCUCAUCUUCUUCUAAAGGCCGGGCAGCUGGGAAUGAGGGCCAGCUGAGCCUUUCGACAUUGUCUCCACAUAGUCCACCAUCUUCUUCUAUCUGGCCGCUGGUGCUCCUCCCAGUCAGACUCCAUCGAGGUCCACUCGAUCGAUCUCUCCGUAGCGUCAGAUAUCCGGCCUCUAGAAAUCACUGCGCCGGAGAUAUCUGGCACCCUGGUGGAGCCUGACAAAGCCCCCGGCGGGGGGGACUGCACCACCCUGAAACCGCAUGUUCUUCGCUGGUGAGAAUAAAGAAAUGGCGACAGGGGAACAAGCGGAGGAAUGUAGACGGCUCCAAAUAGAGAGAGAGAGAGAGAGAGAGAGAGAGAGAGAGAGAGAGAGAGAGAGAGAGAGAGAGAGAGAGAGAGAGAGAGAGAGAGAGAGAGAGAGAGAGAGAGAGAGAGAGAGAGAGAGAGAGAGAGAGAGAGAGAGAGAGAGAGAGAGAGAGAGAGAGNNNNNNNNNNNNNNNNNNNNNNNNNNNNNNNNNNNNNNNNNNNNNNNNNNNNNNNNNNNNNNNNNNNNNNNNNNNNNNNNNNNNNNNNNNNNNNNNNNNNUAUAUAUAUAUAUAUAUAUAUAUAUACUCUCUCCUCCUCUCUCUCUCUCUCUCUCUCUCUCUCUCUCUCUCUCUCUCUCUCCUCCCUAUAUAUAUAUAUAUUCAUCUCCCUCCUGACCUUCCCUCUUCUUACGUUCCCCUAAAUUUUUAACCUCUAUAUUGCCUGCCAUUCUGGCUGUCCAUCGCUCAGGUGAAACUUGGGAGAUGACCAUGUUGCUUCCACUUCAUGCUUUCCCCAUAGACUUCAGCUUCCACUAACACACUUGUUUUGCUCCUCUAAAACACUUGUUCUAUUCCAAAUAAUUUUAGAGAAGCCUCAUCAUUAUGUAUUAAACUCAUAAUAAUGCAUGUCAUCUUUUGGAACCAAAGAGAAAUAUUUGUUAUAUUUUUGAGAUUAGUAAUUAUUAAAUUUUAGGUAAUUAUGUUCCUAAUUUUCAAUUAGAUGAUUUUAAGUUGGACUGGUUGAGCAUGCACCCAAGCCCCACCAUUGAAGACAUGACGUUAGAGGAUGCUAUGUCAUCUGAUCCAAUGAUCGUGCCAACUAAUGAGGCCACCCCACGUCAUCACCGUCAGACUCAAUUAAAGGAUCUGAAUUUCCUUUAUUACUAGGUUUUAUUUUCAUUCAUUUUAUUUAGAUUUCAUUCUAAUCCUCUCUUUCUUCUCAAGAGUUAUAAAUAAGCCUAAGAUUUUUAUAAACUAGUGGCUAAUCUUUGGUUAAGGAAAUUAUCAUCCCUAAGAUUGUGCCUUAGGGGAUCUGUGUGAUCGCCGCCGCUUGUAGCCACCACCAUUGCAUGGGUCCCACCCUACUUCAUGGUCAACCCACCUAUCCAUCGUUGGUCUCUGGGCAUUCCCCCAGCCAACCCUCAUGCGCCCAUCAUCGUGUUGUUGGCCUCCUAUCAAAUCAUCAGCCAUGUGUGGUGAACUUCCUUUCGUGAACGUCCAUGCAACUCAUCCUAUCUUUCUACGACCUAGUGCAUCCCACACAUAGCGGACGUGCUUGGGCCACCUGCCUUCCAUGACUGCUUCUAGCCCUUGAUGCCCACCGCACAUACAUUGCGUGCUCUUCUCCAAUCAUUUGCCGGAGUUAGAUCCGUAACGGGCUCAUCCUCCUCCAAUCAUCCUCGACGUCAACAUCUCGGUAUACAAAUGCCCAAAGUCCCCUCUCAACCCUCUCUGAUGAUUGCGUGCAUUGAUUUCAUCAUGUCUUUCCUUGUUCAUGUUUCCACUAGCAUCAAACAUAGCCAUGUGGGCUUGUGACCAACUGAGUGGACUGUGAUUUCUUUAUUUGGAGCCUAACUGAGAUUUUGAAAUGUGGAUCUUUGUUUUGUCACAAAGAUUUUAGAUAGUCCUCCCGCCCUUGACCAAGAAAUGAAAUGGUCUUCUUGCAUUCAUCAUAGUUGGCUUUAAAGGUUCGAAUUCGAUUAUGUGUGAAUUUUGUAGUUUGUUAUUUAUCCAUCAUAUUCUCAAUAUAUUUCAUUAGUGUCAAUCAUAUUCAUCCUACAUCAUGGACAAUUAUGUUCCCAGCCUCAGAAUCAAUUAUGUCCUUGUUCUAGGAUUACAACACUGUUUAUAAGCAUUGAGAAAUCAAAAGAAACAACUAGUAGAAGAACUAAAUAAUAAAAUAAAUCCGUCCUAAAUGCACCUGGACUAGUAGGAUCUCGUCCCAGUCGUGCGUUUCUAUUGGUUCAUUCUUCAUCAACACAUAUAGGGUAUCAAAAGGACCAAACCCGAAGCUACUACAGCAAUCACUAGAUGGAAUACAGAAAGGCUUAGGUUCAUAUGGAAGGGGUCCAAUAAAAGAAUGUGCCCCCCAAAUUGAUCCUACGUCGGAUUCGAGCUUUGAAUUUCCAAUCCAGACUAAAAAGACUGAAUCAUGGCCACUUUACAACUGAACUAGGAGCCAAAAGUUCGGCAAACUUCAGGAAGAACAGCACCAGCAAGCAGCCCCAACCCCUGGCUUCCAUGGCAACAACGGGGAGCUCAAAUCGGAGUAGCUGAGAUCUCGCAUGUAAAGGUUUCAGUUGCCGGGNNNNNNNNNNNNNNNNNNNNNNNNNNNNNNNNNNNNNNNNNNNNNNNNNNNNNNNNNNNNNNNNNNNNNNNNNNNNNNNNNNNNNNNNNNNNNNNNNNNNGUUUGAGGUGACUGUUCCGGAUCUUCCAAGUUCAUUGAUGUCGGCAAGUAAGGAGGAGCUGUAUCCACAUAGGGCUUAAGACAUUGGCCAUUCACUUUAAAGUUGCUUCCUGUCUUUGGAUCAAGAAUUGAGAUUGCACCAUUAGCAAAGACAUCAAUAAUAACAAAUGGUCCAUCCCAUCUAGAUUUCAACUUACCUGGAAAAAGCUUAAGUUUAGAAUUGUAGAGCCAUACCUUCUGAUUUCUCUGAAAUUUCUGGCGGUUUAAAUUCUUGUCAUGAAAGUGCUUCAUCCUGGUUUUAUAAAUGCUAGAGUUUUCAUAAGCCUCGUCCCUUAGUUCUUGGAGUUCAUGCAUCUGCAAGAGGCGAUUCUUCCCAGCUGCAUCUAAAGAAAGGUUAAGCUUCUUGAUGGCCCAAAAUGCUUUGUGUUCAAUUUCUACCGGAAGAUGAUAGGCCUUACCAAAAACUAGCCUAUAUGGGGACAUCCCCAAGGGUGUUUUAUAGGCAGUCCUAUAGGCCCAUAGAGCAUCAUAGAGGUGGCUUGACCAAUCCUUUCCAUCAGGCCUAAUAAUCUUCUUGAUUAUUUUCUUAAUCUCCCUAUUAGCUACCUCUAUUUGGCCAUUAGCUUGGGGGUGAUAGGGAGUAGUUAUCCUAUGCUGCACUCCAUUUUUCUUCAACAAGGACUGAAAGUGAUAAUUGUUAAAAUGACUCCCUCCAUCACUAAUAAUCGCUCUUGGGCAGCCAAACCUAGAGAAAAUAUUUUGUUGAAUGAAUUUCAGUACUACCUUAUGAUCAUUGGAUCUAGUAGGGAUUGCCUCUACCCAUCUAGACAUAUAAUCCACUGCCAUAAGAAUAUAUUCAUACCCAUCAGAAUUUGGCAAGGGGCCCAUGAAAUCUAUUCCCCAAAGAUCAAAAAUUUCUACCUCAAUGAUAGGCUGCAGUGGCAUGCGAUGUGUCUUCUUCAUAUUCACUGCAGCUUGACAUUUUAAGUAAGUAGAAUAGUACUUAAAGCAUCACGAAAUAAUGUGGGCAAAAAGAACCCACAUUGCAAAACUUUAAAAGCAGUAAUCUUAGUUGAAUAAUGUCCUCCACAGAAGGAAGAAUGGCAGGAGUCUAAUAUACUCCAUUGUUCUUCCUCUGGCACACAUCUUCUAAAAAUAUGGUCAACCCCUCGGUGGAAUAAUUGAGGCUCAUCAUAAAAAUAAAAAGGGAUAUCUUUGUAAAACUUUUUCCUAUCAUUGUAGUUCCACUCAUCUGGUAAUAGACCUGUCACAAGAUAAUUUACUAUGUGUGCAUAUCAUGGUAGGUUCGUUACUUUAACUUCUAGGAUUUGUUCAUCAGGAAAUGCAUCCAGAACAGGGGUAGAUAAUUCAUUAGAUAGUCGAGAGAGAUGAUCUGCUACUACAUUAUCUACCCCACGUCUGUCCUUGAUUUCUAAAUCAAACUCUUGCAUUAAUAAAAUCCACCUCAUAAGUCGUGGUUUUGUUUCUUGUUUUGUAAGCAAAAAUUUCAAAGCAGAAUGGUUAGAAAAUAUAACUAUUUUACUACCUAACAAAUAAGAACGAAAUUUCUCCAAAGCAAAAAUGAUAGCAAACAAUUCCUUUUCAGUGGUGGAAUAAUUCACCUGAGCUUCUCCUAAGGUUUUGCUAGCGUAAUAGACAACCACUGGCUUCUUGUUGACCCGUUGACCCAAAACUGCUCCAACUACAAAAUCUGAAGCAUCGCACAUCAGCUCAAAAGGAAGACUCCAAUUAGGGGCCUGCAAGAUUGGAGCUUGGAUAAGAGCUUCCUUGAGCUGUAGAAAAGAUUUAUGCGCAUCUUCAUUUAAAAUAAAGUCAGUGUGUUUAGAAAGUAAAUGUGUCAAGGGUUUGGAGAUUGUAGCAAAGUCCUUAAUAAAUCUCCUAUAGAAGCCAGCAUGCCCCAAAAAUCCUCUAAGUUGUUUGAUGGUGGUGGGUUGAGGUAGGCUCUUGAUCACUUCGAUCUUGGCCUUGUCCACCAUUAGCCCAUCCUUGCUGAUAUGGUAUCCCAAAAUNNNNNNNNNNNNNNNNNNNNNNNNNNNNNNNNNNNNNNNNNNNNNNNNNNNNNNNNNNNNNNNNNNNNNNNNNNNNNNNNNNNNNNNNNNNNNNNNNNNNUUCAAUUUUACGGCAUGCAGAACGUUUGACCUAUAGAACUAAUCUUCAUAGGAGUUGGCAAGCAUGGCCGUUGAGAAGGAUAUCAGCCCAUCAUGUUGUGACAUUACUUGGACAUAUUGAUUACUACCAAUCUAAGGACACCCUUAACUCAACAACAAGCUCUUUGCUUUAUUUAUGAAGUGCAUUUUUGUGAUAUUGAUAGCCCAACCACCGCACAAACUUUCACUAACUUAUUUUCAAAUACCCCAGAUAGGAGACACAAACGCAGUGUGAGUGUAGAACAGAUUAAUGAAUAUUUUUCUGUGUUCCUAUCAGCUUUGAUGAUUACUCCUCUAAUAUUUAUAUAGAAAAACAGAUAGCAUACACAAAUAUGGCUAAUUUAACUUGCCAUACAGAAUAAGAGCCAAAAUUUGACACGUGCAGGUCUGCAUAGAUGAUUUCCCUAAAUAUAAAGGUUCAUCUAUAUAUUUCUUGGUCAUCUCACCUUCGUUCUGAAUGGCUUUCCUUCUCAAGCGAAACCGUGUAAUACCCAAGGUCAGAAACACCACCAGUAUUAUUGAAGCAAUACCAAUUCCAAUGAUAGCACCAACUGAAAAUUUUUCCUUGGACACAGGAGGAUCGAAAUCUACAAUGCAGAAAAGUAAUUAGAAUAAACCAACCAGAUGAUAAAGGGAGAGCGGAAAACAUCUCCAUGAACAUACCCGGUGUUACCGAAAUCGCCGAUAUAAGAGGCCCGUAGACACCAUCAUAUGGAAUGUUAUUCGUCCCUUUGCCAGACCACGUGAAAUGGAUCUCCAAAGUGCUGCCUUCUACAAGAGCAGUAAAAUUCCUGGUAACUUCCUCACCAAUGCCACCAGCUGCUUCUACGAUGUUAAAAUCUCUUAGCACCUUAUUCCCCUGUUUUAAUGUAGAGAGUUUUAGCUGCUGGGUCAGCACACGACUUGGUUAAGUGCGUAUAGACAAAGCCCCCUAAAGUAGAGAAGCCAGACAAAUUAAAAUGUAGGAAGACAGAGACAUCAACUAUAGUAUAAUACACAACUACUCCCAUAAAGACACUGACGAAAAGAAAAAAAGGGAAUAUCUGGAUACCAACAAACAUCAUUCAAACCUGUUGGAAAAAGAAUUCUCGUUAUCAGAAUCGAUAUGAUGUAUCCCAGCAACGAAGACAGUCAGCGGUGACAACAUCAUGAAUGAAGAAAAGAGCAAUACUAAGCUAUACAUAUUCAUCAAGAAUGUAAGUUCAAGGAAACCAAAUGACCUGGAUUGAUACAUCAAACGCACGCCUUCCAAGACUCCCAAAUAUCGGGUCAGAGGUGAAAACUAUUUCAGCAAAGUGCAGUUUGACUGUAUAAUUUCCCUCUUGCAAGCACAGGCCGUAGUAUUUGAGAGAAAGAGGGCUCAAACGAGCAGUUUUGUACAAUUCUGCAUUGAGCAUUGUCAAUACUGAUGUGUUUUCUGCUACAAAUGCUGUGCUGUCACUUCUCCCACUAAAGUAUCCGGUACUGCUAUAAGCCCACUUUUUACUGGGAGAAAGAUAAUAGUUGGAUAUGCCCUCCAAUGAUGCGUCACGUUCAUAUGUAUUCCCGUCUACAGUGACACUUUCACCUCCACAGUUUAUGAAAAGAUUAUAGUCUGCAUAAAUUCCGAAAAGCCAAAUAAAAAAAUAAUCAGGAGAAAUUCAUGUCCGUGAGUCACGCUUUCAAAUCUUAAGGUUGUUUUCCUCCAACCCCGCAAAAGAAAAAAUCCAACUGAAAAGGAACAGAAGCUGUCCCGGAGAAAGGAGAUUUAUACCCACUUGUAGGUGUGCCAUCACAGGGGAGGUCCUUUCUUAAACACGACAGUAUCCUACGAAGGUCAAACGUAGAGAGUGAAUGAUUUAGACAAUUGAUCUAUCCAUAAUGUACAUUUCAAAAAUGUCAGAAACCUACGAGUCAUCUGUUGUCGAAGAAAAGCUGGCAACAUAGUUCCUGCAAAUUAUAAGAACCUUAUUUAAUUCCAGAAACAAGAAGCCAAUUCCAUACGUCCGACCNNNNNNNNNNNNNNNNNNNNNNNNNNNNNNNNNNNNNNNNNNNNNNNNNNNNNNNNNNNNNNNNNNNNNNNNNNNNNNNNNNNNNNNNNNNNNNNNNNNNAGAGAGAGAGAGAGAGAGAGAGAGAGAGAGAGAGAGAGAGAGAGAGAGAGAGAGAGAGAGAGAGAAGGUGGACAGGUCGAUAGAGAGACAGCGCGAGCGAGCAAAAGAGUCAGACAUGUAGAGAGAAGGUAGACAUGCCGAUAGAAAGACCGCGUGAGCGAGCGACGGAGAGUCAUAGAUAGAGAGAGAUAAGGUGAACAGGCAGAUUCGGGGAACAACGUGAGCGAGCAAUAGAGGGAUACGCAGACAGACACAGAGAUAACCUAGACACACCAACAGAACGCGAGAGAGCGAGCGAGAGAGAGAGAGAGUACGAGAGUAAUAAAAAGUCCUCAUAUCAGCGCCGCCGAUCUCCACGCGAGGACGUCGGGCAACAGCAGAGGGCUUGAACCCGCUGCCGUUGACGACAACCUUAUUGCAGUAGUCCACCCUGAGGGAGACAGACCUGGUGAAGGGAUGCAACACAUCACCGACCACCCGGCUUUGGCAAAGGGGAUCCUGCGGCGUCAUCUCCCCGCUCCUAGUGCUACCGCCACUCCUUCCGCUCCCAGUGCUUCCCAUCUUGUGAAGCGUCUGAGGCAACCCGGGGGGAAGGGUGGUGAGUUCAUGGCGAGAGAGGAAGGGAAGCACUGAGCCUGCUAUAUACUCCGCAGCCCACGGUUUCAACGGACGCGUGACACCAAAGCGGGUUAAGUAGAAUAUACGACGCCAUACAUGUUAUGAGGGCCUCCAAUUCCUAGGAGCUAUCCUCCGUUGAAAAAUUCAGGUCGCCCUGGGAACUUUCUAGCAUGACAACCAUUACCUUAUCGUCCUCUCUUUUUCCUUUUCCUCUCUUUGCUUGAAUUUUAUUAGAAUGAUUGGCAUACUGUAAUUCCGACGCCUGUCUAAAUUUGAGAAUUCGCCUUAUAUUCUGAAUAAGUUUGCAUAUUCUCGGGUGGCUUUUUGACGGCGGGCGCGCGUUAUCACUCUAAAAGCUUCUUCUUUCCGACUUUUAUUCCUGUAUAUGGAAAAACAUUCGAGGCCUGGGAGCUCACAUCUGACCCCUUAAAAAGCAGACCCUGACAGGGAAACAGAGACAGAGAAGUCUGGAGAGGUGGCCCAACCGGCCCACUACUCCGACAGACUUGCAGGCCCCAUCCGUGUCUUCAUGUGCUAAUCUCACGCAAAGUAAGGAACGAACCUUCUAGCUCUUCUCAGUCCGCAUCCUCUUCUCAACCGUUGAUAUGUCGAAUUCUGGCAAGGAUCAUAGCGUAGGUUGGGAAAACACGCACCCUCCCUUCCCCGGUGACUGUGGGUCGGCGUGCUGGGGCAUCCUCCUUUCGGAGGCCAUCGUGACGACGGCGGUGACCUACGUGCCCACGUCGGCCGUGAUACUACAUGAAACGUCAGGCGCCAGCCAUGGAGCAGACUUUCCCGGAGGGGACCUCCUACAGAGGAGAAUCCAACCCACUGGGUAGAGUUGGACUGUCAAUGGCGUGGCCCCCUGAUCCGAAGAAAGCCCCCAGCCGGAGGACUGAGAGGACUGCAGAGGGUGGGUAUCGCCUUUAUGUGAAAGAUUCGCCGGCCAAUAAUUCUGCCAGUGGCUUCGGGGGACUUCCAGCCACCAUGCGAAGCGCGGCCUCGAUUUCUCCCGGAGGAGAUGACAGAGACGGGAGAACGAAAGCCACUGCUUUUGGUGGCGAGGUGGGAAGUAUUGCUUCAUGUCUUUCAACUGUCGGGGGUUGGUCCGAGGGUCGGCUUUUACACGUGACACCGGCCAAUCAUAUUUUUAGACUAUUUUUUUAUUUCACCAUCAAAGAGGCGGACUCACUCUCUCCAAUACCUCUGGCCAUUUUCCAAUUUUAGGCAAGCCCCCUGUUGAUUCUCCUGUUUAUUUAAGAAACAGUAACGUCUGGAAGGGUCCCUGAGAACAUUUGUGGAGCAGGUUUACUAAUCUCUCUCUCUCUCUCUCUCUCUCUCUCUCUCUCUCUCUCUCUCUCUCUCUCUCUCUCUCUCUCUCUCUCUCUCUCUCUCUCUCUCUCUCNNNNNNNNNNNNNNNNNNNNNNNNNNNNNNNNNNNNNNNNNNNNNNNNNNNNNNNNNNNNNNNNNNNNNNNNNNNNNNNNNNNNNNNNNNNNNNNNNNNNGUUUCCUAGGUCUAAAGGCUUUAUAAAAUAAUCAUUGAUAAGGCGGAUCACCGCCGUUCGAGGGUGGGAUCAAAUAUAUGAAUUAUUUUUAAAUAAAAUCUUUCAUCACACCAUCCAAUAUGGUGUUGUGAACAAAUUUGCGCAGAAAUUAUUUGGAAAAUUAUUGUUCCUCAGAUCAGCUAACAAUAGUUAGCAACCAAGAGACCAUGCAAAUCGCACCUAGUGACUUGCCUCCAUUGAGUACGAAGCACCCGCACUGAAUUGGUUGACCCUGUUCCAAAGUUAUUGGCACAGUGAUUUUUUAAUCUGGUGAAGGUUUGGAACAGGGUCAACCAAUUCAGUGCGGGUGCUUCGUAAUCUGAUGAAGAUUCUCCGAUGAGUAGGCAUGUGAAAGUUGCGUGGAACCCAGCUGGUAAAUCUGGCAAAAUUGGUCCACGCGUUCAUCAACCAAGUAAUUCUCCUUUAUAUAUACACGCCAAUAAUUAUUCAAUCAAAUUAAGGCACGAGUAUGUUUCAAGCAAUGCAUAUUUCGUAUGUUCUAAGAGAUGCGUAUCCCAAAAUGAGAGCCCCUCUCCACCGUCCGGUCCGCCAUCUUGCCGAUGUCCCCCCUAUUCCCAAAAAGAGGCCUUGUUUCAUGGCUUCUGGGACCUGUGGUGGCCCAGCGGAGACCUCAAAAUUCGUCUCUUUUUCGUCCAUAGCGUGUCUAUAAAUCGAGCCUUCUGUCCCCCUUUCUCCUCGGCCUUCCUUCUUCCUCAGGCCAUGGAGUUGUUGCAGGGCUGCGGCGGCCUUGAGCGGAGAAGGGCGUUUCCUGUAAAACCUCUCCCCCUCUUCGCUAUGAGAGCUCUGACUUGAGGUUAUUCUCAAAGAAGAUGAGUUCCUCAUCCCCGCUGAUAUUUCUGGGUUCGGCUUUCAUGCACAGGCGGCGGCGCUUCUGCUGCUGCUGCUGUCUGCCGGUUCUCUCAGCACGGGGGAAUGCAGGAGGAAGGGGAGCAGCGGCGGCGGCGGGGGGAGCAGCAGGCGGAGGAUCGGCCCGCCGGCGAGGACGGGGGACGGGGGAUACGAAGGGUCGCCGUUUGUCUACAGGACGAUGACGUGUUGCAGGGCGGUGACGGUGGCGCUGCCGGAGUUCGGCGGCGUCGGCGACGGGGUCACCUCCAACACGAGGGCCUUCCAGUCGGCGGUGGCUCACCUGGCCCAGGUGGCGCCCUGCUCCAGCGGCGGCGGCCAGUUGUACGUCCCCCCCGGGCGGUGGCUCACGGGGAGCUUCAACCUCACUAGUUGCUUCACACUCUACCUACACCGAGACGCCGUCAUCCUCGGCUCCCAGGUCGGUCCCCCCGUCCUCUCUCUCUCUCUCUCUCUAAAACUCUAGUCUCGUGACUUUCUUCGUUGAUCUCGUUCCUCCCACACGCCGGAUUGAUGGCGAGAGAAGAGAGCCACAACAGGAAACGUCGAUUCUCCAAAAAUUAGGUGAAACAGACAAAAAACGCAAUCGAGGAGGUCCCUUUCAGUCGAUUCAGCUCCACCUGUUCUUCAUACUCAGUAACGCAUUUUCAGUGUGACACAUCAAAUUCAAGGCUACCGAAGAUCCGUGCUUCUCAGUUAGAGAGAGAAAACCCCGGAAUUCAUUUAGUCUCCUGUUGGUACAGUUCCCUUUGAAAUGUCCUCUACUUUAGAGAGAGAGUUGAAUUUCCUUACAAUUCGGAUUCACCAGUUUUCUUAAAAUAAACUCACAGAUCCCUCUCUCUUCUCUCUCACACAACCCCCUCAAGAAUCGAACAUAGUCACUACCCUUUAAUCAUCUUCUAAUUAGACCUAAAAUCGAAGUUUACUGAUCCUCUUACAAGUCGACCUCUCUAGUUUCCUUCCUUUAUCUCUCUAGACCCAUCUCUCUAUCUCUCUAUCUCAAGAGUUGGAUUAAGACCCCGGUAACCUUUAAAACUAGCGAGAGAAAUUGAGUUCAGAUGCUUGGUUGGUACAUAUCCUAUUCAUCUUUCUCUCUAUCUAUCUCUCUCUCUCUCUCNNNNNNNNNNNNNNNNNNNNNNNNNNNNNNNNNNNNNNNNNNNNNNNNNNNNNNNNNNNNNNNNNNNNNNNNNNNNNNNNNNNNNNNNNNNNNNNNNNNNAUUUGUAUCAAGUUUGGAGAAUUGUGAGAUGGAGAAUCUUGAUCUCCAUCACUUACCCUUAUCAACGACGACAAUAGUACCGAAGGUCCAAGCAGGCCCAUUUUGUUGCCACGGCACACCCUAAUAUAUGGUUUGAGACUCUAGAUAGUAUUAUCACAAUGGAAGGUUUAUGUGUAGCAUUUCAGUGUGUGAGAAAUAAUUACCUUUCAAGAAAGCCUGGAGGCAGGUAAGAGACCACAGAAACUGCGGCAGUAGAUGAAAAAGGAUUCUCUCACAUGACGUCUCAAACCAUGUCAACUUGUGCCUUAGGCUAUAGAUGGGUGUAAUCCUGAAAAGUCAACUCGACAUAGCACUUGAUGAAGAGAAUGUAGGAAGAAGAGGAGAGAUAGUGAAAGAAAGAUGUUCUUGAUUGAUUCAAAAUAUCUGUGUACAUUCCCUCUUAUGGGGGUCCAUGGCCCACAUCUCCACCAAUCUAACCAUAUGUCAGGCACAACGCUGAUAGCUAUUAUCGCACACUGCAACCAAAGCAUAGAUCUUGAUAAUGUGAAUGCAGAGCGGAGGAAUCGUAAUGGUUUCAUCCAUCAUUACAUGUAAAUAUUGAUUAUUGUGGUGCAUGCUGAUAAUAUCUCAUUUUUUAGAUGUAAUGUGAGUUAAAAUAAGAAAAUAUUGCAUGAAUUUCAUGAAAAUAAAUUAUAAUUAUUGAAUAAAAUGUUUUUAAGCAUUUUUCAUAUUUUUUCGUGAAUUUUGGUUAAUUUUGAUGAUUUAUUUCAGAUUAAAAUGAAUUACUUACUAUUUUCUGAAAUAAAUAAUUUAUUAGGCAUAAUUAUAUAAUUUCCGCUUGAUCCGACAUCCCUGAACGUGCCAUGUCACCCUUUUUCGGCGGUGAAUCAGUGGGCUUAUAUCACGCUAAUAUUUUGUGAUUUUUCAGAAUGUGCCACGUAUCCCCAGAAGUAAACUAAUCGGAAGGCGGAGAACACGUCGCGUAACUAGUGUACUUAAGUCACGGAGGAGCAUAUCAACAAUUAUCUAUUAUUGUCAGAUACAAAUGCGAUUAUUGAUUAUCGCCGGCGAAAUAAAAAGGGUGGAGGUUCUCCGGCGACAUUCAUUCCGUCUUCUCCCUCCUCUGCACGGUCAGAGCCUCCGACGACUGGUGAACCCUCCUCCUUACUCCCUCGGCUGCACCCAGAGCCUCCGGCGGGUGGCCACAAGUCUUCUCCUUUACCCUAGAUGGUGGUGACAGUGGCGUUGAACCCUUCUCUCCACAGAAUCCUUCCGGCGAGCAGUGCAGAGCCGCCGGACGAUAUUCAUGUGCCUUCUGGCGUGGCACGACACGACCGGACGAUACAAAGCCGUCGCACCAGCGUCUCUUGCUGUUCCAAAGGCAGACCAUCAAAGGACAGCCUUAGUUUUAGAUUUAUUUUCUAUUUUAUUUAGUUUUUGUCACAAACGAUAAUUUCCGGACAUUCGCUGGAAAUAAUCGGAAGAAUACACGAUUCACUUGAUAAAAAGGACUUCUUUCUAUCUCAAACCUUCCGAAACUCGUCGAGAAUCAUCCAGGGAGUGAUUUUGAAUCGUUUUCCAUCGAUUUCAAUCGAGAAAUCCAGCUGAAAUUCCUUGCCAUUUUUCUACUGAGCGGAAUGAUUUUCCAGCGAUUUUCCAGUGAUUUCUCUCCGAUUAAUAAGUUGUUUGUUGAUUUAAUGGUUACAUUUUAACCGUAUACUCCUUCUUAAUCGGUGCGAAACUGAUUCGGGCAUUUUCGGUGUGAUUUCACAUCUUUUUCGCGAAUUCCCUCUCACGUAUUUGUCCGGAAAUCGUGGUCAAUGUAGGCGCAAGACGUGUUGACUACAAUUUUCUCUCUCCUAAUUAUCAUCUAUUUUCUUUUCUUCCUCUUCUCCUCCACCUAAAAAUUCAUCUAAAUCCCUUCUUAACCCCGUUUCUAUCUCCCAAAAAUUUGUCCAAAAGUCCCUUCGAAAUCCCACGUCUAUCUCCCAAAAUUUCUUCCUCUAAUCCCUUCUAAAUCCCACNNNNNNNNNNNNNNNNNNNNNNNNNNNNNNNNNNNNNNNNNNNNNNNNNNNNNNNNNNNNNNNNNNNNNNNNNNNNNNNNNNNNNNNNNNNNNNNNNNNNGAGAGAGAGAGAGAGAGGACCAUUUCUGGGUUUUCCCCUCGGCCCGGCCCUAACCGGCAGCAGUUCCCCCGUUUACACACAUUAUUUAUAUAAUUUUGGGUAAUAAAUACGAUGAUGCCAAGGUCAACUCAUUUGAAUGCCACCUAGAGCAACCAUUAUUCUUCUCUACUUAUGAAAAGACGGCAAUUCACUCACCAACUAAAGUUUUAAACUCUCAACCAACCAAAGUUAUUGGAAGGGGGGAGAAUCCCGACGAAAGGAACUCAUAUAUUUUAUUAUUUACAUUAUUUUAUAAAUUGGUCUACCAGCUGCUUCAGUGGGUCCGACCCUGGUUGGGUCUUAGGAAUAAAGAAGAAGCCCGGUCUUCAUCAAGCCCGCUGUUAAAGAAUGACCUGCGAUCAUAAAAAAGCCCCGAAAUAUCAACGUAGGGUCGGGCCCACGUAAAUUACUUGGUGAUAGAGAGAGAAUGUGCCUAGAGGAAUGCUGAGCCGCUGGAUUCAAACACAUCAACGGUCAAGAUGAAUCCGACUGGCGAACUGAGUGGCUGAUGGCGAGGUCGAGAGGCAUCAAUGGAAGGAGAUGCUCUACAGGAGCUUACGCGCUUGUGCUGCCUCUCAAAGGCCGUGCCAUCGCUGUGGACGGGGUCCUCGCAGCAGUCGGUAGCCUCCAGCUACGCUCAAAAGCAUAAUCGAGGAAUAUAGUCUUCUCAAAUGGUUGACCAAAGUCAAGACCCAUGAGCGUUGACCGAUACAAGCGGGCCCCAAUGCUCAGGAAUCUGGUUAGAUAGUGCCCGCUGGGUCAAACCACGCGCUUCUACAACUCCCAACAAAGGAUUAGGGUUCAUAAUAUCUACCCAUUGUUGCCGCUUCCAUUGCUUGCCCACAUCUUGACCUGAGGAGGGCUCUGAUUGGCUCGGUUUGACCGAGCCAAUCGGAGCUGCCCAAAUCUUGGACUUUAAAGGACGAGGGUUCUACAAAUGGGAGAGGGUAGAGGUUCUAUCAGAGCCCAUCCAUGAGUGACGCAGCAGUGACGUGGAAGAUAAACAAGAUUUGGGCUUGAAUCUACAAAGCUCUAAUCUUGGAGAAGAAACCAACCUCUGAAUCCACAGAUUCGGAGUCUCCAACCCUUGAGUCCACAAGGGGGUGCCUGAAUCCACAAGCAAAGGACAGGUUCUCACAAGGGAGAAAACUGAUUCAACUAAAAAAGGUAAGUCCCUCAGGUUACAAUAGGGGCCUUUAUAUAGGCCUAGAAAGGGGGUGGGGGCGCUCAUAAAAGGAGGAUCCUGACAGAUCCUGAGGACAGACUCUGACUAACACUGAAAUGACUUAAAGCAGACUAUGAUAGAUUGAGAUCUUGAACAAAUCCUUUGAAAAUACUUCGAAGUGACAUAAAGCAAGCUCUGACAAGUAGAUAUACUAAGUAGAUCUUAGGUACAGACUCUGACAGUCUGAUAUCCUAAGCAUAUCUUGGGUACAGACUGAACCCCAUUAAAGUCCCUUCUAGAAGGAAGGAGACAUAAAGUGCCUUUUAGAAGUGAAAGGACAUAAAGUAAAAAGUAAGUAUUACUUUUCAGACCUCCAACCCACUAGUGACAUAUGUGGGCUCCCUCUUUACUAUUUUUCACUUUAUGGCCCAAAUUUAGGGUAAUUGGGCCCAACUUCGAAGUUAGGACUUCAACUGGUGUCUUGGGCUACAUCAGUCUCUCCUUCUUCAAGAAAACUCGUCCUCGAGUCUUCAUUUGAAUAUUCAUAAUAUUCGUAUAUGUCACUGACAUUAAAUGUGGGUGAAAUAGUCAUAUUUGGUGGGAGCUCAAUAAGGUAUGCAUUAUCAUUGAUCUUCUGUAGAACUUGAUACGGUCCAUAUUUCUUUGGCUUCAACUUGUUAUAGCUACCUACUGGAAAUCGUUCUUCGCGAAGGUACACCAUUACUUUGUCGCCAACUUCAAAUAUCUUCUUUCUUCUUUUCUUAUCUGCUGCUAUUUUAUAUUUGUCAUAAUUUGUUGUGAGAUUGUGUAUCACAUUUUNNNNNNNNNNNNNNNNNNNNNNNNNNNNNNNNNNNNNNNNNNNNNNNNNNNNNNNNNNNNNNNNNNNNNNNNNNNNNNNNNNNNNNNNNNNNNNNNNNNNAGAGAGAGAGAGAGAGAGAGAGAGAGAGAGAGAGAGAGAGAGGCGACAGUGACAUCAAAACAGAUUUCUAAUAAAGGAAAAGUUUACAGGGACUUUACAGAGACUCUGGGGACUGAUGGCCAAUUCAGGGGGUGGAGCACAGAAGAAAUAUGACAUGGCAUAUAGUGUCGGUCAACGCUGUCAUCGUGUCAACCCCGGGUCGUGCUUCUUCCUCCUGCAUCUGUGGUGGACCUUCUGCUCAGAGAAGCUGCUCUCCCCCCUAAUCUUCAUCCCCCCACCGUCACUAUCACCUUCAAGAACACACACACCAGAUCGGCAUCUCUUCCAAAAAUAGUAAAUACAGAGCAUUCAUGGAGUUUUUCAAAGGUCAGCGUAAAACGGCAACGAAACUAUGAACAAUAUUUCUAAGUGCUCCCAUGGUCAACCUUUCGGGAAUUGGAUGAGGCAUUUGGAUCUCAUCUCUCAACUGGAAACUUCAGAUAUGGUCAACCCCGAACUAUCUAAACGGGGAAAGGCUGGUUGACUGCACUAGCUUAUUUAUGAAGCAAAGAAAUACGCAUAUAUGGAAUAAAAAGAACAAGGAUGAUGGAUCAUCUUGCGGUUCAAGGUUCUGCAAAACCCCACUUGAAAAGUCAAAUCCAGGCGGAUGAAUUUACGCGGUCAACUAUGAUCCCACAAACCUCCCUCCUUUCUCUGGCUUCAAAUCCCCCAAUGGAAAAAAAAGGCCUCCUAAUUUUUCAUCACGCACAUUGAGUAAACAAUAUAGCCGAAUUAAAAACAAAGAGAAAGAUUACGGUCUUUUUCUUAUUGCACUUGGAUUCCGAGCAACCCUCAAUUAUCCCCAAGAAUUCAUUGCUAGCCCGCUGAAUCAUUCUUCCUCCUCAAAUGACGGGGUUGGUCUCUUGUGUUCAAGGUGGUAGGAUGACUUCACCAGAACCAGAUUCUGAAGAAGUAAUGAUAAGAAAUAUAUCUCAUAAAAAGCACAGAUUGAAGGAUCAAAUCCAACAGUAAGCGGCUCGUGGGGUUCCCCCUGUUCAUCUCUGUGAGUUUCUCUACCUUCUCAUGAUCUUCACUCAUGAAAUCCAACAAAUGUUUUAUGGAAAAUUGAUGAACAAGAAGAUUCAGUUUGAACAGCUGAAAAUCUAGGUUUCGUCCAUGGCGCACUGAGAACACGAAUAUGAUGCACCAUGAAAAAGAUGAGUGAAUAGCUCGAAUAUACCUCCAAACUGAUCUCCCCAGAACAGCAGCCGUCCAUCGUCCUCUUCCUCGUCAAACUCGUCCCCAUAGCCAAGCUCAACAUCUCCUCUGUAACCCGUCUCGCUGCCAUAACCGGAUUCGUUCCACUGUAAAUCGAGAACACCGAGGCCGCCCUGGUGAGGAGCGGUAGUCGAAGCCUCCCGAUCCAUCCCCCCUCCACCGCUCCCGGCAUCCUUGAUAUCCCUCCUUGAGAUCCUCACGUCGCUGACAUCCGAACCCCAGUUCCCAUCUCCGUUCACGAACAGCUCGCCGCUCGAGUCCGUGCCCCCAGCGGCGACGGGGAAAUCGGAGCACGUCGCGUAGGCCCCGGACGCACCCCCUCCUCCGACCGAGCGGCACCGGCGGCAGGUCCCACUCCGGUCGCUGCUCCGACCGGAGACGGAGCGGGAACCGCCCCUUUGCCGCCGUCGCUUCCUCGCGAACCAGCCGAUUCCCUCUUCCCGGUGCCUCUGCUGCUGCUGCGGCGGCGGAGGGGGAUCGUCGAGGAGGGAUAGCCUGGAGAAAUCGAGCGGAUCGCCGAGGUUGGGGGCGGUGGAUCGAUCGGACCUGCACGGCUUCUUGGUGAGGAUUGCCCUAGACGAUUCCAGAUGGUGCCCCGGGCUCUGCGGCUGGAACGGCUUCCAGGCGUGCAGCUGCAGAGUGCAAGAUUCCAAGGCGUGGCGAGAGGAACCCACCGUCCUCGUCGGCGUCAUUCUCCCUCCACCAUUGCCAGACUCCCCACUUCUCUCUCUCUCUCUCUCUCUCUCUGUCUCUCUCUUCUCUCNNNNNNNNNNNNNNNNNNNNNNNNNNNNNNNNNNNNNNNNNNNNNNNNNNNNNNNNNNNNNNNNNNNNNNNNNNNNNNNNNNNNNNNNNNNNNNNNNNNNAGAGAGAGAGAGAGAGAGAGAGAGAGAGAGAUAAGCGUAAGACAGUGCCACCGACUCUCAUGAAACCAAUGGAGUGUGCUAUGAUGCAGGUUGAACCGUCAGUUUUUCAUUGGGUUCGGAAGUCGAAGGUCCUUUUUUCGCCACGUGGCUCACAUCUCCCUCUCUCUCUCUCUCUGUCUCUGUCUAUGUCUGGGUCUCAUAAUGGAGUACAGAUGGCGAAUAUAGGAGAGAAGAUCCAGUCUGAGUCUUACAGCAAGCUGCCAAGUGAAACUGUUUGACUUUCUAGCCUAGGUUGUUUCAUUUAGUGAAUUAUAAGGAAUUUUUUAUCUAUCGAUGAUCGGGUCUCUAGAUUUCUCUCCCCUAAAGAAGAAAAAAUAAAGAGGAUGGGGGAGGAUAAUCGGGCGUUGGAGGUGCAGUGAGACCUAGUAAACUGCCAGCUGCUCACCUUGAUUUUCCUGCCGAAGUUCCUCUUCGUCUUCUUCUUCCUGUACCUGGAGAGCUUCUGCCGCCGGUCCUCCUCCCCGACGCUCAGCAGCCUCUCGAAGGGAAGGUGAAUGGUGCUCCCGCUGAAGCUCGUCCCGCCGCCAUUGCUGUACGUCUUUCGACGAGAGAAGACCCACAUCGAUUCAUUCCUUCCCGGAAGCUACGGUUGAUUAGAGAGAGAGAGAGAGAGAGAGAGAGAGAGAGAGAGAGGAGCAAUAAUCUGAGUGCAGUUCUCACCUGAAGAUCUCCUUCACUGCACGCCCUCCGCAUCACAAGAACAUCUCCGGGAAUAAUUCCCUUGGCGGCGCAGAGAUUUGGCCCCGCCGAGCUUCCACUGACCCGGGUCGACGACUCCAAGCUCCCGAAGCUGACGCUCUUCUUGAUUCCUUCAUCGCCCGUGGGUUUCUCCUCCUCCUCCCUCGUCGGAAAACCCGCCAGCUGGGAGGACUCGUAGAAGGCGUCGAUCAACAGCUGCUCGUUCUGAAUGGGAUCGACGUCCGGGACCUCGAAGGGGUUCGCGGAGAUGACGGCGUCGCCGUUGGAGAUCAUCCACAUAGCCGCCGCCACGGGGUCGAGCUCCAUCGCCGGCUCCUCCACGAUGGGCUCCGGCGCUUUGAAGAGGUCCCCCUCCCCGCCCAGGUCGUAGUCGGAGACGGUCGCUGUCUUCACCAUGUUUCUCUGUGCAGGAAGGCGAUGAACACCCCAUUAAAUAUCUCUCACUCUGUGCGCUUCGUCACCCCCUGUCAACAUCUCUGGACACGGAGGCCAAGAGAGAAUCUCGUCAUGAAGUACCGCAGAAAACUAAAACUAAUGGCGGCGGCGUCUUCGGGAGCUUUGGCAGGGCCGACGGGGGCAUUCCCGUGAAAAUGGGCCAUUUUAUGGAUAUUUUAUUUCUCCCUCUCUCUCUCUCUCUCCCCCCCUUCAGAGGCAGGAAGGUACCGAGUUCUACGCCGGGGAAGAGGAAAAGGGUAAGGUCGUCGCAUUCCUCCUCCUCCUACCUUCACAUCGGCUCCCCCCUCUUCCUUCAUCCAGAAAGACGGAAGAAAAUCGAGAGCCAGAGAGGGGGUGGGAGAGAGAGAGGGAGAGGAAGAGGGUGGGGAUGGUGAUACAGUCCUCAGGUGGGCUCUGAAGCCGGAGACGAGAGAAGGCGCUGAUAUGAAAAGAAUUCGAGUAGAGAAGGUUACCGUGGCAUUAUCCGCGGGGAGGAGGUGACCGGAGCUUUUCUGAAGGCGGCAGAAGAGCUCCUCCUCCAUGGGGUGGAAGUGGUGGCGGAGCUCCAGAGGGAAGGCUUGCAAGUAGGGAAAUAGCAUCCCACCCUCUGCGUGCAUAUCUCGGAGAAAAAUCCCCCCACGAGACGGCCACCCAACCGCAGAGCGAGAGCGCUGUCUAAGAAGGCGAAGCAGCCUCCACGACCGGAGCACCACUCUGCACCUCCCCCUCUUAUAUACUUGGAACGCAGGUCUCUUCUUGAGGUAGAGAGAGAGAGAGAGAGAGAGAGAGAGAGAGAGAGAGAGAGAGAGAGAGAGAGAGAGAGAGAGANNNNNNNNNNNNNNNNNNNNNNNNNNNNNNNNNNNNNNNNNNNNNNNNNNNNNNNNNNNNNNNNNNNNNNNNNNNNNNNNNNNNNNNNNNNNNNNNNNNNUUGCAAGUAAGGGGCAGCGAAAUAUCUCCAUAUACAUACCAGGUGUUACUGAUAUCGCUGAUAUGAGAGGCCCAUAUACACCUCUAUCCGGAAUGGAAUUUGUCCCUUUGCCAGACCACACGAAAUGGAUCUCCAAUGUGCCACCCUCUACAAAGGCAGUAAAAUUCCUAAUAACUUCUUUACCAGUUCCAUUGGCUGCUUCUACGAUGUUAAAGUCUCUUAACACCUUUUUUCCCUGUUUCAAUGAGGAGAGUUAUAUCACCUGGAUCCACUUACUACAAUGCACAUGUACUCACAAAACCAAUGAACCGAAAAGGGAUAACUGAAUACCAAUGAGCACAUUUGAAAAAGGAUAGAAAAUUUAUUUCUUGUUUUCGAGAAAUUAUAACAUGUAUCCAAGCUCUGAAGAGGAUGUUCAAUUACAACUGCAUGAAUGAACGAAGCUUGGAUAAGAAUCAGCACAUAUGACAUCAUAUCACUAAUGAAAAUGGAACAGUGGGAAAAAAUAAUCAGGAAUGAUUAUGUCGAAAUAAUCUAGAGGAGUAUAAAGGAUGUCUUUAGGAAAAGAUCAGUACUAAACUACACGUAUUCAUCAAUAUUGUAAGUCCAAGGAAUCCAAAUGACCUGAAUUGAUACAUCAAACACACGCCUUCCAAGACUGCCAAAUGUCGGGCCAGAGGUGAAAACUAUUUCAGCAAAGUGCAGCCGGACCGUAUAAUUUCCUGGUUGCAAGCAUAGACCAUAGUAUUUGAGAGAAAGAGGAUUCAAACGAGCAGUUUUGUACAAUUCUGCAUUGGGCAUUGUCAAUACUGAUGUAUUUUCUGUUACAAAUGGCGCGCUGUCACUUCCCCCAAUAAAGUUUCCUGUACUGCUAUAAGCCCACUUUCCACUGCUAGCAAGAUAAUAUUUUGAUGCGCCUUCCACUGACGCAUCAUGUUCAUAUUCGUUUCCAUCAACAGUCACACUUUCACCUCCACAAUUUAUGAAAAGGUUAUAGUCUGCAUAAAUUCCGAAAAGCCAAAUAAAAAAUUAAUCAAGAGAACGUCAUGUUCAUAAAUCAAGCUUUCAAGUCAUAAGGUUGCUUUCUUCCAACCCCCCAAAAGAAAAGUUCAACUGAAAAAGUAAAGAAGCUGUCCCGAAGAAAGGAGAUUUAUACUCACUUUUAGGUGUGCCAUCACAGGGGUGGUCCUUUCUUAAACACGACGCUAUCCUACGAAGGUUAAACGGAGAGAGUGAAUGAUUUAGACAAUUGAUCUACCCAUAAUGUAAACUUCAAAAAUGUCAGAAACCUACGAGUCAUUUGUUGUCGAAGAAAAGCUGGCAACAUAGUUCCUGCAAAUUAUAAGAGCCUUAUUUAAUUCCAGAAACAAGAAGCCAAUUCCAUACGUCCGACCGACAAACAGUCUGCUUACCGUGAGUCUUGCUCACAGUCAGGUGGUGCAGAUGAAAGAUUGGUGAAUGUAUUAUAAGAAAUAUCCCUGAACAUUUUCAACGAUCUAUCAAUGAUGAUUUACACGUUACCAAAAAAUUUAUUACGAUACGAAAUCUAAAAGAAAAAGCAAGGAACAUAACCGUACAGUUUCCGUGUCGUUCUCUUAGCCCAACCAGGUAUUGCUCCACUAAGUUUGUUGCUGGUAAGGAACCUGAUUAUGCAAAAUCAGCAUAAAGCAUCAUUAAAGUAUAACUCUUCUCAUUUUUCUACUGGCCUAUUAAGUUGAAUCAAAGAGAAAAUCGAACCCGCAGUCACUUACAUAUAUUCUAAGUUUUUCAGAUCCACAAAGUUCUCUGGUAUCUCGCCCGUGAAAUUAUUAAAGCUCAGAUCUCUGCCACAAAACACAAUAAAAAAUGUGACAAAUCGGAGAGCAAAAUAAUUGUUCUCCCUGAGACCACGCAAUAUAAUUUUCAAGGUACAAGUCUUCUUUUAAAGAUCAAAAUAAAAAAAGUAUAUUUCUUAUAAUCUGACAAUUAUCAGAGAGAGAAAAAUGGCUGCAUGAAGAUCACUGAUGUAGGAACAAGUGUGCNNNNNNNNNNNNNNNNNNNNNNNNNNNNNNNNNNNNNNNNNNNNNNNNNNNNNNNNNNNNNNNNNNNNNNNNNNNNNNNNNNNNNNNNNNNNNNNNNNNNUCUCUCUCUCUCGUUAGGGGCUUCUCCGAAAAUGAUCGAGCUGUUGCUAACCUCACCGCCACCGCCUCUCCCCCCUCCCUCUCACCUCUGAAGGACUUGCUCCAGUGCCUCCAUGGCCGGCGUAGCUCUCCAUCUCCGGUGAGUUCUCCGACGAAGAGGUCUGAUUUGAGAUUUUUCUAUUUCAGACAGUUAUCUUCUCUUUCAGGUUUUAAUCAAGGCCGUUCAUCUAGGGAGUUAUGACGGUGGUAAAGCAUCCACGUGAGCUAGCAGCGCCAGCUCAGACGAAGGCUGUUAUGCUCACUCUCUCUCCACCUCUCAUUAGACGCCCAUAUAAGGUGCACUUGUGUUCGAUGAAAUGUGCCCCAGAACUCAUUUUUUUGUUACGAUUUUUUGUUUUGAUCUCUGCCUCUUUUCUUUUCCUCUUCGAGAGAGUUCUUGAGGUUGUAGCAGGCUUAGCGGUGCCAACAACCUCCCUCUCACCUCUCUUUUGCCUCUGAUCCAGGACGAAUAUGAUUGACACAAAUGUGAUAUGCUAUAAAUGAGAUGAAUAACUAGUAAGCCACAUAAGUCACACACAUUCAGAUUCGAACCUUUAAAGCCGACUGCGUGACACUAAGAAGACCGUUCCGUUCCUUAGUCGAGGACUGGAGGAUCGUCUCAAAUCAUCGUAAUAAAUCAAAGCUCUAUGUUUCAAAAUCUCAAUCAAUCUCCAAACAAGGAAAACACAGCCCACACGGCUGAUCACGAGCCCACACGGCAAAUCACGAGCCCACACAGUUAGUCACAAGCCCACACGGCUAAACCCGAUGGCAGUGGAAUCACAAACGAGGAAAAAUGAGAUGAAAUCAAUGCACACAUUCACUAAAAGGGUUAAGAGUGGACCUUGGGCAUUUGAACGUCGAGAAGUUGAUGUCGAGGAUACUUUGGAGAAGAGCGGGCUCGUCGCGGGCUCACCGCCCCCUUGCGGGGCUCGGGGCAGCGCCCUGAAACCAAAUCCGGUGGAUGACAGGAGCAAGGCGCACAGUGCACGCAUGGUAGCCGACAAGGGUUGGAAGCUGUCGCGAAGGACGAAGAGUCCAGGUACAUUCGCUGCGUGCGGGAUGCUCCGGUCACAACAAGGCGGCAGUAGUCGUGCGGACGCCCACGGAGAGGAGUUCGCCGCAUGCGGAUGGCGACCCGGCGUGAACCGUCCCUUGGCGACGAACGCUUGACGCUGUCGCGGAGGACAUCUGCGGCUGCGGGGCGAGGAGUCGUGCGGACGCCACGGAGAGGAGCUCGUCGCAUGCGGACGGCGAUCCGGCGGAACCAUUUCUCGACGGCGGACGCUUGACGCUGUCGCGGAGGACGUCUGUGGCUGGGGGGCGAGAAAUCGUGUGGACGCCACGGAGAGGAGCACGUCGCAUGCAAACGACGAUCCGGCGGAGCUACUCCUCGACGGCAGAUGCCUGACGCUGACACGGAGGACGUUCGCGGGUGUGGAGAGUUCCGUCAUCCGUCGAGAUGGUUAGGUCUCACGGAUGCGCGCGGAAGGAAGCCCGCCGUGCACGAUCAGUGAACUGACGGGAGGCCGUCAGCACGAAGAGAAGUGCGCAAGAACUAAUGGAGGGCUUGUCCGGAGAAGGAAGGUUGACCUUGGAGCAGGGUGGGACCCGUGCGACGGCGGCAGCUACAGGCGGCGGCGGUUGCACAAAUCCCCUAGGGCACAUUCUUAGGAAAGAUAGCUUUCUUAAUCCCAAAAUCAGCCACCAGUUCAAGGAAUUCUUAAGCCUAUUUAUAGGCCUUGGAAUGAAAAAAAAAAGACUACAAUAAGAUCAAGCAAAAUGAACAAAAAUUAAGCCUAAUAAUAAAGGAAAUUCGGAUCCUUCAGUUGGGUCCAACGGCGACGACAUGAGAUGGCUGCAGAUGACAUGGCAUCCUCUGACGUUGUUGCCUCCACUGGUGGAGCUUGGGUACAUACUCCACCAGCCUCUCUCCCUCUCUCACCCCUCUUUGUCUCCUGCCUCUCUCUCUCUCUCUCCNNNNNNNNNNNNNNNNNNNNNNNNNNNNNNNNNNNNNNNNNNNNNNNNNNNNNNNNNNNNNNNNNNNNNNNNNNNNNNNNNNNNNNNNNNNNNNNNNNNNUUUUUGGAGCUCCACUCUGUCCCUUAUUUACUUUAAUAGCCAAGCUUUUGACCACUCCCUAUGGAUACUUUGACUGAGGAAUGUAGAACUUCAACCACCCUCAAGUGUUCAAUAGGAUUCUCAAUAUCUUCCAAGUGAUAGCUACUGAAAUAUAGAUUGCAAAUCUCGCAAUUCAAUUACAUGAAAAUUUUAAAUGCACUUGAGGAGUAUUGCUUCAGCCCAACUAGUUAGCCAUAAUCAUCCUAGCAUGAUCUGAAUGCAAGUAGUAUAUUAAUUUUUCAUCUCUCAAAUGUACUGUUAAUUACGAGCACCAUGUUGUACAAGUACAAUAUAUAGAAAAGAUGGAAAAACACAAAUUUUAAUCAGAAUUUUCUUGCAAUCUUAAAUGACAUCUAUUGCAAUCCCAAAUGGCAAAGCCAGUCAAAACAAAAAAUUGAUAUUGUUUCAAUUUAACUCAGGCGAUGACAAGUUAAUAAAAUUUAGAAGGGAAAACAUAGUCCCGAAACAUAAGAGAAAUAACUAUGACAAUUUAUUGGACGAUAGAUGCAGGCUUCAGUAUAGCUGAUGUUUCACAUGGCUUCUAAUUUACUUUAGAUUAUACCAUGGUUCAAUAAUAGAUCUGUGUUCAGGAGCAAAAAACAAGGGUGAGCCCUAAUGUCAAGCAUAUCCUUUCUUGAAAAGCUCGUGGAAAACAUCAACUCAGAUUGUAUUUACAAACUCAGGUUAAAAAAUGCAUUUUCUCAUCUUUAGUUCAAGCCUUUUUUUACCAAUAUUCAUCAACAAGUUUCGCUUACAUAAAAUGUAUAAAAAUAUCACAACAUUCUAGAUCAGGCACAUUAGCAACCCUCCUCCGCUUGUCGGUUCCGGAGGAAGGAAGGAAGGAAGAAAGUUUAGGGUGGGUUACCGAAGAGGGUUUGAUCGAAGCCAUUGUUCUCGAGGUACUCGUAGACGUGGAGCCGGCUCCCCUUGUCGAUGCAGAAGCCGAGGAGCUUCAAUAGGGUCCGAUGAUGGAGACCUCUGCCAGGAACUGCAUCCCUCGUCUUCUUCUUUGGCCCUCUUCCUCGUCUUCUUCUCUCGCCCUCUUCCUGUCUCUCCUCCCUCGUCUUCUUCUUUCGCCCUCUCCCUCUCUCUCCUCCCUCGUCUUCUUCUUUCGCCCUCUCCCUCUCUCUCCUCCCUCUUCUUCUUCGGAUUGAGCAACGGCUCUCUGUGCAGCGGGCGUGGGAAAGGGAAACAACGGAGGGAUCCGAAUCGGACCUAAAUGGGAAUGACAACGGAGGGAUCCGAAUCGGACCUAAAUGGGAAUGACAACAGCGGUAUCUUAUUUUAUAACCCGCUUCCUUUUUCAUUCUGAGAGAGAGAGAGAGACAGAGAGACAGAGACAGAGAGAGACAGGGAGAGACAGAGACAGAGACACAAAGAGAGACACAGAGAGAGAGAGAGAGAGAGAGAGAAGCGAGAGAGAGAGAGAGAGAGAGAGAAACAGACAGACAGACAGACAGACAGAGAUCAUCCGGAAACCCCCAGACAAUAACAACAAUUCUAUGAAAAGCUGUUGCUUAGACCCCUCCAUUGGUUCCUCUGUCUCCUCACUCUCGCUCUCUCUCUCUUUCUCUCUUUCUAUCUAUCGCUCUUGACGCACUCUUUCUCCUCUCUUUACUCUCGCUUCAAUCAUUUUUUAUCAUUAGUAUAUUAACUUAGAUUAUUUUUUUGGUUAUUGCAGUGUAGUUUAGUAUAACCACCAAGAUGAGCAAUCAAGAAUGAGGUUAGAGCUGGUUGACCACAGAAUAUCUAGUUUGCUCUCCCUCUCCUUUGGAUCUUUCCUUAUUUUUACUUUUCACUUAGUUUCUUGGAGAACAAAAAAGUUGUCGUGUAAGUUGGUACCUCUUUUGUGCAUCAAUCAAAACUAGCUACAUUUACUUUGUUUAUAUUAAUGGGAAUUCAAUUAUGUCAAUUUUAAAUUUGACAUAUAUGAAUCUAAUGGCUUAGAGAUGAUCAAAUAUAAACAAUGUUACCUUCACNNNNNNNNNNNNNNNNNNNNNNNNNNNNNNNNNNNNNNNNNNNNNNNNNNNNNNNNNNNNNNNNNNNNNNNNNNNNNNNNNNNNNNNNNNNNNNNNNNNNAGAGAGAGAGAGAGAGAGACUGUACCUUCAACUGGUUUUUAAACUGUUGCACCAGGAACCCCAUGUUCUCAUGGAUCUUACUGCCAUUCAGUAGUUGGAGGUUAGCGAAGAAACGGGAAAAUCAUUGCUUCCAGCGCUGAAAACGAACAAGGACUGAGAUAGGAAGAGAGAAGUUGCGGCAUAGCCCAGACGUGUCUUUAGGCUGUGAGUGAUCCCUUCGAAGUAAUCGAUCUGUUUAUUCAGAGAUAUGGCGAAGUUCCGGCCCUGAUAAAUUUAUAAGCCAGAGGGCGAGAGAAAGUGUGAGCUCUUCAUACUGUUGAAGGGAAAUAAAAGGAAGUGAUUUUAUGGUCAGGUUGAAGACGGCUGCCAUUGGAGACUCACCGUGGCCUCGAGGAUGCCCGAUCCACCAGACGCGAAGUUCACUCCAUGCAUCCGGGCGUUGCUAGUGAGGGAGAGGUACGCUGGUGGGCUCUUCUUUAGCCCCAGCUUCAUGGCUAAGGUAUAGAAAGAUGACUCAGUCCCCGGAUACCGAAUGCCCUAACUAAAUGUUCGUAUUUCCGGUGGGAAUUUGAACAAGAAAAUCAAAUGGGAGAGAUAGAGAAGGGGAAGAGUGUUGCACUUUAGAAAAAUGAGAGCAAAAUAUUUAAUUUACAAUAGUUUAUUCGUUAAUAGUAAAUAGGUCAUAAAUAAUAUCAAACGUCACAUCAAGUCUGUGAUUCAGUAAGCCCCAACGUAUUCAGCAGACGGCAGUUUUGGCUAGCGAUUCUCGUAAGAACCUGCGAUUCGUCAUUAUCUAAUGUGGGACUGGACCCAGAAGCCCCAAAUUGAGUUCGAUAGCAUAAAUCUGAGAAAAAAAUGAAUUGGGCUAGACCCUAAGUAAAAAAGUUACAAAGAAAAGGGCGUCGGGUUUGUGUAAUUCAUGUGAAGAGGUGGAGUUUUACGAACGAAUAUUCGUUCUUCUAAUAAGUUUUUCAAUAAAGAUGACAAAAUCGUGAUAAUUCGGGAAGCCCUACCCAAAAAGUCAGCAACGUUGUAGCCGUUGCUGAACCUGCCCGUCGGCUUGCCACCGGGGUAGUCGACCCCGUAGGGAGGGAAGUUGACCUUGCCCAGGUUCCCCGGCAAAUAGUUGUUGUUUCCCACGUCCACCGAGGAGUCUCCGAACACGUAGAUAGCUGGAGUACCGCCAUUCGCCGCCGUCUGCAAGAACAGGGUUGCCGAGAAAGCCGCGGCGAAGAGGAAAUGCCUUAUUCUCCCCAUCGGACCAUACAACCUUGCGUAUGCACACUCCACAUACUCAUUGAGACUUAUUUAUAGCCCGGAUCGAACGCGUAGUCUUAUGAACAACGGAGAGCUUUUCCUGAGCAGGUUGGCGUGAUAGCCAUCUAACUUUUCCGCGUAUCUUUUCACGAUUUGACCGGCAUUUUCUUCUCAAAAUGUUUCGCCGAAAAUAUUGACGAGUGGGAAAUUUUUCUCUCGCACAAGGCGACGUGCAGAACCCAGGUUCUUCCACAAAGGCAUCAUUUAUCCAGUAGAAAAACUAAAGUCAGACCCCAUGGGUCAACUGUGAGACAAAAUUCUCGGAAACCACAAGUAACCUUCCAACGGACAACGCCGUUCAGGAUGUCCACUUGCGAAAGAGUGAGUCGGAAGUCAUCUAUUUGACAGAAACCAACACCAAAUUCAACGGAGGAACGUGGGACCAAUUGGGUCUUCCAGCUAGCCGCGUCACGGAAUCAAAAGUUUUAUUUAUAAGCGCGAUGACCUUCGUUCGUUUAUACUACUUGAGACUUUAUCAUGUGGUCUUCGAACUAGAGUACGAUUUGUUACGGCAUAGAUACAGUGGAAGUCGUUCAUGAAUCUAUCUUCCUUGCUCAAUAAGUAUUCAAAGCCUUUGGCAAAAACGUGCAUGAUAGAUUUUACAUUCUUUCCUUGUUUCAAAGUUAACCAACUCGUCAAUGUGCUAGAAAACUCAGGCAACGAGACCCUGGCCUUCUCUCUCUCUCUCUCUCUCUCUCUCNNNNNNNNNNNNNNNNNNNNNNNNNNNNNNNNNNNNNNNNNNNNNNNNNNNNNNNNNNNNNNNNNNNNNNNNNNNNNNNNNNNNNNNNNNNNNNNNNNNNUACUACUAAUAUAUAUAUAUAUAUAUAUAUAUAUAUAUAUACACAUUACUGAACUUUUAGAGGCAAACAUGCUGGGUUCAAUUUUAUUGCGCCGUGAAUAGAUCAAAGCAUCGAGGCCCAAAAGAGUUUGUGAUUGUGACCCUAGUUAUGCCAGUAGAAGAGUUUGUGGCAACUUUUAUUGGGUGUUUGAAUUGAUUCUAUGCCUCACUUUGAUCCUAAUUUGGAGUUUUCACUAAUUAUUCCUAUGAUUUUUUUUAAUUUCCUUCGUGGUUUCUUGCAUUCUAUCAUUUUUUCUAAAUCAACUCUAGGGACACAAAAUUGUUCAUCGACAUUCAUCCACUAUUCAUGCCUACUUAUUAACUUCCAAUAAAAAACCAUCUAGCCAAAAGAAAAUAAUUAAAAGUCGCAAAACUCUUACAAUUUUUCUACUUUGAGACUCUUUACCAAAAACUGAUGGCGUCAAAAUGGAAUUAAGAUUAAGGCUAUUGAUGAAGCAGUCCAUUCGCAACAAGUUCCCAUAUUUACAGGGAUUUCUGGCAGAAUCCAUCCGAUAAAGAUUAGACUCAAAUGCGAUAUACAUGCAUUGGAAAUAUCAAACGAACGCUUAUGUGCGACCUGUGGCCCACGCCUCCUAUUAUUUGUUCAUGGCGGGCGGGGCGUGGACUCUGAUUCGAUCCGGGUAUUCAAUCCCGGCGCUGAGAUGCUCAGUUGACUUCCUAACCUUGAUAGGCAGCUGGCUUAUUCCAAAAUUAGUGCAUACGGAUAAGGAACGCUGGAUGAACUAAUGCGAAUGGGUGCAUGCCUCGCUGCUAGGGAAACACCCAGCGCUGACCACACCGAGAGAGACAGAUGGCCAUGGGAAGGAACAGCGGCGGACAAGCGACCGAACUAGGGAGCCUAAACGGCGUUGAGACUUUAGGACUCGAGUGCGUAACAGGGCUCUAAGAUCUCCGACCGGGUUUGAAAGUUAAUAAGCAGUUUGAUCUGUUUCCUUCAAUGGUAGCGAAUCACCAUCCGCGGGGGUUUUUUGAUAUGGGAGGAACCCAGUCUGCAGUAACUCCCAUGAAAAUUUUGGAGGCCCAUUGCUGCUGAUAAGUAUCAAUUAACUCUCUUAAGAAGAACAAGAACUUUAUUAUCGGUGUUUGCUUGAUCUGAAUAGUAUUGACUUGGAGUGAAUCUGUAAAUUCAAUGAAGAUCAUGAUGCAUUGUAACUCGAUUUUGUUUAUCCCUUAAGGUUGUGAAUGUGUCUGAUUGAUGAAGAUUUUAUCACUUGAAUUGGUGAAGAUUAAUUCACCUUAAUUUCUCUUUAUUAAAUCUUGGAAAUAAUCUGAAGAUGGUGGGGGUGAAAGGUGAUUGUACAAGUCUUAUUAGUCGUUGGACAUGUACUGAACUCAUAAAAGGUUGGAUAUAAACCACCUUUAUUUUCAAUGCUCUCAAGAUUCAGUGCUUGAAAUUAGAAUGAAAGUUUAAUGGAAGUAACCCAUGCACCAUAAAUAUCCACAACUAAUCAGCUCAAAUUGGCCUAAUAUGUAUCCAUCAUCCUAAAAACAAAGCCUAAUGAGACGUCAAAAUAACCUAAUGUUUUUGCAUUCAGAAUGUAUCUAAUUCACCUCAAAUAAAAAGACGUGUAAAACUGACAUGAAAUUAUGAUACUAGUAUGAGCAUUAAUUUUUUUAAUGAGUUAUAAUUAUAUACAAUUUAUUUCCUAAAUUUAAUUUUUCAAUAGAAAUAUUUAAUAAAAUUAUAUGAAAUCAAUAAAUUUUGAUAUCAAGAAUGAUCAGAAGUAAUAAUUUAAUAUUAUUAACAUCUAGAGUAUUGGGAAAGCUUUAACGAUCAUAUUUUCACUUAAGAAAAUAAAUUAUUUCUAUAGGCUAAUCUAUACUAUCUAUCAAUGGUAGUUCACGUAAGUACUAGUGAUGCACCAUAAUUGCAGUAAGCUAAGAUGUUAAAUUAAUAUUUUAAUAUUCUGAUUCCAUAAGAAUUAGUUAUUACUAGUCAUGGCUUUUAGGUCAAUCCNNNNNNNNNNNNNNNNNNNNNNNNNNNNNNNNNNNNNNNNNNNNNNNNNNNNNNNNNNNNNNNNNNNNNNNNNNNNNNNNNNNNNNNNNNNNNNNNNNNNCUCUCUCUCUCUCUCUCUCUCUCUCUCUCUCUCUCUCUCACACACACACACACACACACACAGAGGGAGGUUGAUCAAUUCACUCCGUUUCGCUUCCCUCCGUGGAGAUUCGAUGAGUCGGGCUUGGCUGGCAGGAGAGGGCAUAUGCGCAGACGGAGGAAACAAAUACUGGGCUCGUUCCAGAUUUCUUCUGGCAACUGGUGGCCCGAAUCGGCAGAUUGCUCCGUUUUCUUACCUUUUGUAGGAAGAAUAGAGGAACGGUUGAAAACCCAAGACGGGCAUUUCACUCAAUAAAAUAGUAGUAGAGAGAUUUAUCACUAUCCUCGGCUUAUUCACGAUAAAUAAAACCAAAGUUAAAAUGUCUCCCUCGAAGGAUAUUCCGCAUGAAGCAGACCCGGGGCUCCGACGGCCAAUGCCACGUCCCCGUCACCUUCCUUGGCCGAGGGGUCCGCCGUCGUCGGCCGCCGUCAAGGCCGCAGCUCCGCCGGGGACGUGGACGGCGACCCAUUCACACCAUUAAAUACUUAAAUGUUCAAGAGAAGUGCGACCGUUGCUCGUGCUAGAAUCUGUCAUGACUUUCAAAGCUACUCCCUUUGAAUUUCUUCCAUCCCCAUCUCUCUCUCUCUCUCUCUCUGUCGUUUUCAUGUCGAUGUGUAUUCCAUGAAACUAUGCUUUCAUGCUUGGUCGCAGGUGCAAAUGGGGAACGCCGCGAAUGCAACGACUGCUCUCUCUCUCUCUCUCUCUCUCCCUCGCUCUCUCUCUCUCAAGGACCGUCCCCCGUGUGGUUGGAUAAGGUUUGGCAGCGGGCGGCGAGUUGCUUCCGACCUCGCCUCCGGGUCCUCGUGGCACGUGGCGUGUCUCUCUCACACGGGUGCGACUCCUUCCAGAUGCCCGCCCCGACCGAAUCACCAAUAAAAGGGUUUCCUUUUGUCCGGGGGCCCCCGCCCGGCUCUCUCAGGCAUUCCCUCGAACAUGUGGCCGUCCCCAACUUGGCUGAAGUGAAGCUGGCGUCGCUUGUGAGUUGCGACGCGCUUUAAUAUUAUCCAACCACCUCUUCAUCUGCCUCCCUCUCUGAUAUGACAGUUAGCCGCCAAAUUCAU
rnacentral:lncRNA from 1 species